UGCUUGCGUGAGGUAUGGUGGCUGUUCCCAGUUAUCAUGGUUUUGAGGGGGAAAAGUUGUAUUUUGGUGAGAUCUCGAACAGAAAGUGUUCCAGAGUUAUUGAAGUCGGAAUGGGGAAUGAUGGGCUUCUGAUUUGAACUAAAUGAAAGAUUUUAAUUUUUUUCUUCGGUCAAUGCAGCAUCUGGUAUGUUGGCGGUAUUGGCUGCCAAAUUUGUUAUGCGACAAACAAGCCUUUGGAGUUCAGUUGCUUUUUCAUCAUUCUGCUGGAUUUCUGCAUGAUAUCUUUCUUGAAAAAUUGCAUUACAAUAGAGUUUCCUUGUUUGCUUCAGACUGUUAUACAAUUGAACUUGACGACUUAAGAAAAUGCUGCUUCUCGGUCGUAUUCUUUUUGGAUCAAUCCAUGAUUACAGUAUCAUACUGUUUCACUUCCGAUAUAUCAUGGCCAUUCUUUAUAUGAAAAGGUAGUUGCCUUUUGGCCAAGCUUAAACUUACAAAUUUGUAUCACCAAGGGAUGGUUCUGGAUUAAGGUUUUUAAAAGCCAAGAUAUCAGUCAUCUAGGUGGAUGAUUGAGAUUAAGAUGAACUAAGAUGUCGGUUUAUCACAAAUAAGAUGGAAAAUGUUAAAAAAAUGAAGAUAUCUGAGACUUCUGGAGAUCUUGGCCAAUACUGGCAACUUUAGCAACUAUUUUGAAAUCUAUUAAUUGAAAAACUUAUUUAAAGAAGUAAAAAUUUGUCUGAAAUAUAGAGGCCAAUAUGUUUAUACUGUACAAGCCAGCACCUCAGAAUUUUAUUCUAUUAACUGGGUUGUAGGGGCCAAGGUUUUGUAUUGGAGAGUUUCCAAUAUGUAUAUAGACCUAGAUUGCGGCCAAGACGAAAACAUUGUUCUGGAUUUUACUAAGCUAUUCAAUAUACCGAGCGACAUUGUUAAUCAUGUCUAAGAUAAUGAGGAUGCAGAGCAUGGGGUUUCUAUUUUAGUAGUCUUUACUUUUGUAUCAUUUCAUAGGAAGAUGGGCAGGGUAACCUUACUAGCUGCAAAUUUGGUAACAUCCACUAACACCUUCUCUUGUUUUUGGCAGGCUUCAUUAUAAUUUCAAUUCUAUAAUGGUGUUAAAAUUGAUGUAUUAGUUCGUAAGCAAAGUUUUUGCAUUGUUGAGAAAUAUGAGCAUAUAUGAACAGCAGUUCAGUUCAUAAGCUAAGUUUAUAACUUGAAGUUUGUUAUAGUUUUUCAUGAAAAAAAUAAUCCAUGGUUCGUUGGCCUCUUCAUACACAAGGAAUGAAUAAUAGUGCUGUGAAAUUCGGAAAGAUUUCUCGGACCAUAUUUUCAGUAUAUUCCCAAGUAAUUGUAGAGAACAUGCAUGUCUAGAUAUUGGUUUACUAGGAAACAGGUCUUGCCGUAUAUAAUACAAUUUAUGCUAACAAAAUUUACAAGAUAUUGAGAGGUAGUGAAGUACAUACUAGAUGCCCAAAAGGUGAAAAAUUGUGAGGUUUGAGCAAGCAGAUAGCAUGGGGAGAAGAAGCAUCACUAGUAGUGUAGAUUGGCAGUUGUCAAUAUAACUAAUUUAUAUCUAGAUUCCACGAAAAUAUUAUCUGAUCACUCAUAUGGACGCCUGACAUGGGGUUUGGAAAGGAUAUGCCAGACUGUUUGUUAAAAUGAAUUUGAAUAUUUUUGGUUAUUCGCUUCAGGAAGCGAAAUUGAGCUCUGUGGGAUGGUCUUGUGGGCACAUGAAGUUUGCCGCUUAUGGAAUUUAAGAAUGAUCUGACAGUUUUCAGUGGUCCAAUUUACAGGAAUAUUGAAAGAGAUGGAUGGAAGAAAAAGGCAAUGGGAGAUUGGCUUUUGUCUUAAGGAUGGGAAGCACUUAGUACAGUCUUGUGCAACUUUGGUUCGCAGGGUCUUCUGGAGUUAUGUUUGAACGUGUGUUAAAGUCCAGAGGCAUAAUACUUCUCAUAUACUUCUAUCCAUGGUUGGUGGCCAUGGAAGAGAUGUUGAUCAGUCGCUGUAGACAAAGUCAAUGAUUUGUCUUGCUGCUGGAUGUUUGAUUUAUCAUGGUUCUUUAUGUGUAGCUACUUUCUUAUGGAGCGUUUCCUCCAAAUGCUUGAUAUGAGAGUUGUCUGCUCUGAGACUCUGGGCCAGUUGGGUAUUGUUCUGGACUGCAAGGGAAUUUUGGGCUCUGCUUGCUGUUUUGGUCAUAUGAGCGUCCCUUGUUGAUUAAUAAAAAAAGGCUAUACAAAUUGAUUAGAUGAAGGCAUGACUCCUUACAUUCUUUGCUUCAUUUGCAGAAUGUGCACCAAGGAUAUACAAAUGAAACUUUGGUACGCUUUCUCAAGGCGAGAGAGGGGCAUGUUACUAAAGCUUAUAAAAUGGUAAGAUUGCAUUUCAGCUGCCUUUAUUUAUUUUCUUGUUUUAGAAACUAUAUGUCAUUUAUUUCUUUUACUUAAGAUGCUUAUAUCUGUUGCAGCUGGUGGAUUCUUUGAAUUGGAGGAUUCAAAAUGGGAUUGACAACAUUUUGUCUGUGAGUUUUUCUUAAUGUAAAAUCCUUUGUAGUUGACAUUAAUUUUUUUGUAUAAAUCAUCUCUUUGGCAUAUCUAAGCCUAACAUCUAUAAAAUAUUGAUUAAAUAAAGUUUUUUUUAAGGAGAGCUUUAUGUCCAUUCACAAUUUGCAAUAUUUGGCAGUUGUAAUAUUCUAAGCUUCAUUGCCUGUCAAUUCUACAAUUGAAAUGAACCAAUUAUGAUAUGCCAACCUGCAUGCUAGUUAUAGUUUCUCAUAGAUUCCAGAAUUAUUGUGAUGCAAAUGCAGGAGUUCACAUGCUCACCCAUGUCAUAUUCUACAACUAAAAAAAAUUCUCCAAUGGCUUUCAGUUAAUAUGAGGCUAGUUUUCCUUUGGGUAUCUAAUUGUCAAAUUUUUUGAUUAUGAGAAUCUCAUUUCUAAAUGGACCCUGUCUUAAUGCAGAAACCUAUAAUUCCAACAGAUUUAUAUAGAGCAGUACGUGAUUCACAGCUCAUAGGAUUGUCCGGAUACUCGAAGGAGGUAACACUAUCCAUUUUAUACUUAACACUGACUUUGUUCCUAUAUGUUUUUCCUGUUAUGAAAAUCAAAUCAUUAUUUUUUGCUACUUCGAUAGCCUUAUAUAUGCAAACCUCCAUAGGGUCAUGCUUCACAGUGAACUUUCUACUUGAGUUGAAAUUCAACAUGCACAUGGAAUGCCUAUGCUGUUUAUAGAGCUCUGGGAUUUGCAACUAUUUAUUAUUUUCUUGGGGGGUCGGGGGGGGAGUCAUAUUUUGGUACAUUUGCUCUUUCUUUGAUCAUGAUGAUGCACUCUAGAGUGGAACUCGUAAACUAUUUUGGAAAUUGGGUUCUUUAUAAAUCAUGCUUUCUGCUUGAUCCUCCCUCCGUACAACAUAAUUUAUAAAAUAUUCAUGCCAAACUGAAAUCGGUUUUUUUUCCUAAUAAGUCGAUGACAAAAUAAAUAGAUAUGUUUGGUUAAAAUUAGCUGAUCAUGCCUAUUCUGCUGGCAUCAUAUCUAUUUUCUAUAAACAGAUAUUAUAACAAAGUUUACCGUACCGGAUGGUACCGUACCAUGCCGGGCAUUCUGUACCGUGUUGGUAUUGAACUGGUAUGUAGUCUCAUACUGUACCGACAUUCAGUACAUCUUACUAUCUCGUACAGUGCCGCGUACCUAUAUUGUAAUAGGAUGAUACCAAUACAGGGUCUGGUACCGAGAUGGUGAACCUUGAAUCAUAAUAUUAAAAAAGUAAAAUAUAAUUUCACUAAAAUGUCUUUAGAAUUUUUAUAUACUUCUGCUUACUUUUUGACAGGGCCAUCCAGUCUUUGCAAUUGGUGUUGGACUCAGCACAUUUGAUAAAGCAUCUGUAAGCAUUAUAAUGUUUUGGUUUUGUUGUUCACUAGUUUCCUUAUGACUACAUAAUAUGAAGAAAACCAUGCUAGGUCAUGACAGAGAUGUCUCAAGCAAAUUGCUGUUCUUUAAUAUGCUGUAGUUUUGUCAUUGUUCUUGUGUCAUUGUUUUUAUUGACACAUUAUUUAUGCAUGGUUACUGACAUGGUUGCUGUACCAUUGCCUUGUUUGGUAUUAUUAGUAUGAAAGUACUGCAUGUAUGUAUGUAUGUUAAAUGAUGGGAAGGUACUCUUUUAGGUGUAUUGAUCUUGAGCUGUAUUUUUCUAUUGCACCUCCUAUUGUUACCAGUAUUGUUUCUUCUGCCAUACCUAGCCAACCGCAUUAUCAAGACUUUUGAGAUACUCUUAGUCCAAAUAUUCACUGUGCACAUACUUCAUAAGGUUAAUCAUCAUGGCAAAUGCUCUUGCCGGUUGCCCAAGGAAAUGCUUAUAUGAAUUGUUCUAUAUGGUUUUUUGUGCUAUGGUUUGUCAUUUAUUAUCCUUUGAACAUUUUGUUGCCAGUUACUAGUAGAAAGAUGGAAACAACAGCAGUAGAAAAUGGUUUUUUAUGCAUGAAAUGCUGCCUAUUUAGCAUUUUAUUUUUUUUAAUGUCAGAAAAUAUAAAACAAAUCUAUAUGAUGGAAUAGAAAUUUGCCAGGACUAUUAGGUGAAAAUAUAUAAGGAAAUGUCAUAUGUUAGAUGGUGAAGAUAAAUAUGCCAAUAAGAAAUGUAGAUUUAUUAUAUACCUUCCUAAAUUGAUUGCACCGUUCCAUUCUCCAUUCUUUAAGCCUCUUAUAUAUGCUUCUACAUGGCAGUGAAAAGGAGCUUCACUAUAAAUAAGAACUUCCUUCAUAAUCUGUUUUAUCAUUUGUUUUUUUUUCAUUGACAACAAAUUUGAUUAGAUAGAUAUGAGUGCCUUAAGAUUGAUGCAUGGUACCAUUAUGGGUAUUGGUGCCGGACACUGAUAUGGAGGGUCAGGCUAUCUGGACUACAAUCAAUAUAUGUAAGAUCUGACAACACAUCACUCCUUUUCUGGGCAUGAUAUGUGCGCUGAUAUGCAUGUCCUUUUAAUUUUUCAUCAAUAGCCAAAUUAAUUUAGGUGUUUUUCACCUGGGAGCCCCCACCCCCAAGCUUUCUCAAAGUCAAUUUUGAUGGGUCAGUGCUGGAUGGUGGCACGAUAGGUGGAGCGGGUUUUGUUAUUCGGGACCCGACCUCCAGGGUAGUGGCGGCGGGAGGCUGUCAGGUAUUUGACUGCACGGUUCUUGGAGCAGAACUGAGAGCUGCCUGGGCGGGUCUUCGACACGCUCAGCGUGUGCUCUCAGCUAGAUCAGUCAUCUCGGAGGGUGACUCGGUUACGGUCAUUAGUUGGAUCCAGGGGGGUCUGAGAGCCGGUGCUGCCGACCAUCCCUUGAUCCGCGAUAUCUGGUUGAUGACGAGGGACGAAGGGGUGGUCCAGGCGAAGCAUGUAUUUAGAGAAGCCAACGGAGCUGCGGAUUGGGUGGCCAGGUAUGUGGCUAACCAUGCCGGUAGUACCUUAUGGGCAGGGGACGGGGAGCUGCCCCGGGAGCUCCGGGAUGUUUUGUUUUCCGAUUUUAUUGGAUGUAUCCGUACACGUGUUGUAUAGAUCACCCGGUUUAGACAAAAAAAAAAAAGAAAAGAAAAAAAAGAAAAAAAAAGAAGAGAAAUCAUAAUUUCUACAAAACCUCUAUAACUAAUUCACCAAAAGCUAACCAAAAUUUUCCCCUUCAAAGAAGCAUCUGUCCAUGCAAUUACUACAAGCACUUGCUUUUGACUGGUCCAUGACAAGAGGGUUUGUAACUUUGUAUAAUCAUGGAUGAUAAAUUUAACUCCAUUCUUCACAUUGUACAUAGAUUUUGAAAAUUUUAAGAAAAUUAAAAGAAUUUGGGAGUUUGGCUAAAAGAAGUCAAGAAAAACUAAAGGUAUAAAAGGCUUUCUGGGGGUCUUUGAGAGACCUUUUUAGGGUAAAGAGGAGAAAAAAAGAGGCUUAUUGUAUAGAUUGAGAACACUGGAUGGUGGAUAGAACCAUUUAAUCUCAGAUUUGCUAGAUUUUUGCAUAACUGUUAUUUGGAAUUUAGAUUGUAGUCUUUAUUAUACUUUCGAAUUAUAAGUUAUUUAUGUAUUAGCUAAUUGAUAUAGCGUUAGUUUCCAUAUCAAGUUCACAAUCAUUUGUAGUUUUAUCUUUGUAUGAUUUACAUUUGUAGUUACAUACAUUAUUUGGUGUUUGAUCAUGAGAUUUUUUGUUGAACAGUUGAAUGUAAUAUAGUUCUUAAAAUAUUUUCAUUGGGUUUAAAGGAAAGAUGAAUGAUAAGACUACUAACACUGUAGGCUUGCCACCGGUUGUGGUAAUGGUUUCACUUGUUGGGAGAAGUUUCUUUGUCCAGGAAGGGAUCACAUUAGACAUUUACUGCAAAAAGUAAGAAUAGGGAGUUCUGCUGGCUUUCCUUGUUGACCCAGCUCCUUUUCUGGUGGAUCACGGCAUGAGCAUCUCUUUCACCGCCAUCAGCACAAGUCUUCUGAUGGGCAGUCUUGCUCUUGGCUUGAGCAGGAAGAUCAGAAAAGUUAACUAAUGAAACAAGUAUCAUAACUUUGAUUGUCAAGAGUUAAAGAUGCUUGAAUUUAUGCUAUAGGAAUUAAUGGAAACUUACAGAGGGAUUAUGAUCGCUGUUUUUUAUAACGAGUUAGACAUAACACUUGGCUCAAGUUGGAGGUAGGCAUCUCAAAAUGUGUCUGCCAAAAUAGUCAUCACAUUCACAUGGUGCAAAAUUAAAUAGAAAAUAAAUUAAAUAUCCUAUUUAUCAUCAGAGAACCUUGAACUCCCUGCAAGGUUUGUGAUUAAAUCAAGCCAUUCUCUUAAAUGAUCCAACAAAUAGAAGUUUGAUGAGAUCAGAGAUUUACUUAUUGAAGUGUUAGGACUCUAUGGAUGAACUAUAUUAUUAAAACCAAUUAACUUAAUCAGGAAUGGAUGCAUUUCAAUGGGAAGCAUCGGAAUAAAAGGAAUUUAUUAGUUACAAUGACAGAUGAUCAAUUUUGAAGAGGGAUGCCGGAAUGUGAUUUGUUAGACUUUGCUACUAUGCUACUAUCUUUGUCUCUUGGAUUUUCUGUUGUCAUGGAAACCAAGAAAACUCAGAGGUGGAGCUGUGGUCAUCUCCCUAAGCAUGCUGCAAGUCCUCGCUGUGUUUCAACUGGUAUUUCUAUCACUCUUUGUUAAACUAUUUACUGCAGUAGAGGCAUUGGAAAAAGAGGAAUAGACGAGCUUUUCACCUCUUUCUAUGAAAAGUUUUUUUAGAAAAAUAAAAAAGAAACAAGCAGUACUGCUAUGGCUCCCUGUGCAUAUUGGGCCCCAGACUGAAGUUGCCCUUCACUGGUCUAGAUAUUUACUCGAUUAGCACACAAGAGGGCCAAGAUGAUGGAAGAUGGAAGAUAGAGAAGGGAAAGAUAUGAAAGAGGCAAUUGAACUCUUCCUGACUUCCCAGCAAAUUAGAAACCUCUCCUAACUGGUGGAACUAGUUUCCACAAUGGGUGUCAGGCACUAUAGUGCGAGUAGACCUUUUUGGCCUACAUGCAUGUGUAGGCCUAGCACUUUUCUAAUAUAAAUUUAUGAUUUUUCAUAUUCUCAUACUUACUGAAUCCAUAAAUCCAGAGAUUACACAUGAGACAAUAUGUUCAUGUGUGUGAUAUAUGAUUCCUAGGCUUGUUCUAUUUUUCUCUUAUAUCUUUGUUUUUCUUUUCUAUUUUUUUGGCAGAAACUGUGAAACUCAAAACUUAACGGCCAAAAUUAAAGUUAUUAGGCCCAAUAGAAACUGAAACAAAGUUAUUGGGCAUUCUUUUGAAGUAUGCGGAACGUGUUCCACAAACGUUUAUAAACUUUUAACAUUUAUUACGAUUCCUUUGUCCAGUUUUUGGUUACUCUUCUAUUUUGUGUCAUUUAGGUCCACUACUAUGUGCAGUCACACAUUCAAAUUAAUGAGUACCGUGAUCGUGUAGUUUUGGUAAGUAGUCAUUUGCAUAGUCUCCAGACUUUAAGCGCUUGCAGUUUCUUUUUCUAAUUUAUUUGUUUGUGUUUUAGCCUGCUGCAACAAAGAAGUAUGGGCGGUAUAUUGGCACAUGCCUGAAAGUCUUAGAUAUGACUGGGCUAAAGCUUUCAGCAUUGAGCCAAAUAAAGGUAUGGCUCUGAAUUUUUCUAAUUUUUUAUUUAUAAAUGUGUUUUCCAAAAGAAAUUCUUUGACUUGUGUUAACUAUAAAUUUUCUCUAAUAACUAUUAUGAAAGUUCAAGUUCUAGAUGCUAACGAAAGUAUUAUCAUUUCAGCUGUUUCAUGAGUCAUGGACCUAGAAGUCCGGAAAUGUCAUUUUGAUCUCACAUGUGAUGUUGGAUAAUAUGUCUACAAUUGGUCUGUCUUUAAGGCCUAAGAGGGAAGGUCAAAGUUUUCACCUGGUGGGCCACUAAUAGCGAUAGACAUUCCCAGUGUCUCGAUAGCUCGUAGGCAGCUAGUUUUUGGACUCACAGGAGCCCUAUUGAGCUGCGCAAUCACGCUUUUAUUUGAUAGGAAAUGGUGGCAAGUAAAGAUUUGAAAUUCGGAUUAUAUUUCAGAUUCUGUUGAUAUUAGUUGAAUUGCAAAUCUCUCUGAGUUUCUACUCUGCAGAGACCCCAGCAUGAAUUAUGACAUAAACAAAUUGCCAUCCGUGUCCCACAACAUCUUCUCAACCAUGCAUUGAAAUUCUUCCUAGUUUUGCUGCUGAUAAAAUUUUUCUUAGGACUUUUUCUUAUCAUUUAUGUUUCAUUUACUGUUGGUGGAUUUAUAUGCUGCAUGUUAUUGUAAUUUUCUUUUAUUGAAAUUCCUAGUCAACAAGUUGCUCUCUAAAUUAUAAUAAUGCUCCAUGUAAAUCAUGUUGUUCAUGCUGAUACUGCUAAACUUAAUGUUUAAAUGUCCCUUCUUAUAUUGCAGUUAUUAACCAUCAUAUCUACUGUUGAUGACCUAAACUAUCCAGAGAAGACAGAGACUUAUUAUAUAGUCAAUGCUCCGUAUAUAUUUUCGGCUUGUUGGAAGGUAACUAUCCAUGCAUUUUGAAUUGAAAUUUCUGGAUGAAGUCUUCAUGCUUCUCUAAUUAUUUUAAUUUCCAUGCUUUUAUUUCUCUAUGGGUUGGUACAUCAGUAUAUUUAUUUGCAAUCUUCAGCAAAAGUUUAGUCUGUUUUCUAUUCCAAUUGUGUUUCUUCUUCUUCUCCUCCUCCUCCUUUUGCUUACCGGUCAGGUUGUCAAGCCUCUUUUGCAAGAAAGGACAAGAAGGAAAGUGCGAGUACUGCAAGGUUGUGGCAGAGAUGAGCUAUUGAAGGUAAGAAAUUUAAAUUAUCUGAUAUUAACUUUUCUCUUUUGUGUUUGACACUAUGUAACAAACAGAAUAUUUUGUGGGCAAAAAUCACAUGAUUGCUCAAAAACUGAAACCUGAUUAAUUGUGGUUUUCGCUACAUAAAAUGUUAUAAUUGUUAUCUUGACUCUUUGAUUGUCAACCACUAUACCAAAAGCUGAAAAUAUGGUACAGAUUAUCGGCAAUAAACAGUAAAUGAUAAUUUAAGAAGGAAUGAGUUAAAUAUAGCUUGGGUAUUGGAUUCCAGCAUUCAUGGACCAAUGUGCUCUGUUGAGUUUUUUCACAUGCAUCCUGGCUUGUGUCAAGGAUCUUGACAACUGUUGACCAUGUGGUAAACUACUUGUUGGAGGUUCUAAAGGGACAAACCAAACGGAUCUUGAACUUUUUUUUCUUGAGCAUUACUUUCCGUUCCAUGGUGAGAAUCCUGUCAGGUAGGCUUCAAGCUAUUUGGGUUAGUCAAAUUUACCAAACUUGUCGAGGUUCUAAAGGGACAAACCAAACAGAUCUUGUACUUUUUAUUUCUUGAGCAUCACUUUCUGUUCCAUGGUGAGAAUCCUGUCAGGGAGGCUUCAAGCUAUUUGGGUUAGUCAAGUUUACCAAACUUGUCGACUUGCUAAAAGCAGACUGCCAGCUUUUUGCAUGGGAUCACAUGUGUGUCAUAUUUCUGCUCAUUUCAUUUUGCUGUAUCAUCAUGUCAUAUUAUUUUAGAUCAUAAAUACUCAAACUUCCAUUAAUUGGCAUGUUGUAGAUAAUGGACUAUGCAUCCCUUCCCCAUUUCUGUAGAAGACAAGGUUCUGGUUCAUCUCGGUAUUCUUCUGCUGAGGCUGAUGACUGCCUCUCCUUUGACCAUCCGUUUCACCAACAGCUUUACAGCUACAUGAAGCAGCAAGCCUUAAACCAGGAAUUCAUUGUUCCUUUCAAACAAGGGUCCUUCCAUGUAGACGUGCCUGAACCAGACUCUGAGGGAACAAAGAUUGUUAAAACUUUAGAGUCUGAGCUCCACAAGAUCAGUGAUCAAAAUGGGCUUGCUCGCUCGAUGACCGACCUUAAAAUGGAGAGUGCAUGAAGGUGCACCUGCAGGGGACAGUAUUGAAAGUUAAAACUGCACUUUGCCUUUGCUAAUGCCUCAACCAGUUGCAACGGAUUGUGCAGUAGAUCAGUAUGUGCUCUUCCACUAUUUUGGCUCCAGACACAACUGGCGAUAUAAUGUGAAGUGGGUGCACUCUCUCAGUGCAAGCUUUAUAGUGAGGGUUGAAGACAGCAAUGAAGGUCUCUUUCUAAGUAGAAUAGAAACGUGCAAGUAAUAGUGCAACUUAAUCUGAAAAUAUACGAAAAUUUUCGGUAGGCUAAGUACUUAAAUCUGUAAGUUAAAUAUUACUAGAAGCAUCGAGUAUUUUGCAUAUUGAAGUAUAUGCUGUAUGUAGGAACUAUAAUUUUCAGGGCAUAAUAAAAUGAAAUUUUCUGGUAACACGUGGGAUGGGGAUACUCUUUUUUUUUUUCAUUUCUUCCAUGGUUUAUUGCUCUUAAUUUGUAUGGUUGAAAUAUUAAAAAAAUGUUUUUUCUCUCUCUUUUGUCUAGGCUUAGUGAGAGAUUCCUCUUGAACUUGCUUCUGUUGUGAUAUCUCAUUUGAGGUGGUCGAAUAGUAUCUUUUACGUCUCUAGUAAGAUAUUUAGAUACUUACAGUACUGCACUAAUAUCGACAUGUCUAAGAAAUACAAUGUUUCAGAGAGGUCCAUUUCUGCAAGAAGGCAAAAACUCUUGCUCAUGGUGUACGAGUUUGUAGAAGCGUUUUAGGGGUUUCACGUUCACCCCUCAUUCAUCUUGCACUUGUCUCUCUGUUCCCUAUCAUUUUUGCCAGGCAUAUGAGCACUGUAAUAUCUCCAUUAGAGCACAGUUCAAUCAGCCAAACUACCUCUGUCGAAUCAAAAAGCACAUUCAUUAAAUGCUACGCCUUCUAAACUGCCACUUUUCAACUGUGAGUUGGAACAAGGGCUGAUGUCAUUCAGAAUCUAAUCCCAGAAAGAUAAUGCCAUCCAAGUGCUCGAUAAUAUAAGCAGGCACAACUUAAAAAUAAUAAAAUACACUCGUUUUGACACACGUGCUGCCCCCCGUUUUCCCAUCAGAACAAAAACUGGUUUUUUUGGUAGAGGAACAGAGAAAAAAAAUCUUCCUAGAAUGGAGGUUGGAGCUCAUAAAUUUGCAUCCUAGUAAUGUAUGUCGACCAAAGGCAACUUCAUCUGCCACCCUCGCAUUGCGUUGGCAUGCGAAGAUGCCCGCAAGGAGAUUUGGCUUUAAUGAAGGUCUUCUAUCAAAUUCUCCAGAUUCCUUUCUUGAAUAAAAUGCCAUAAUUAAUGGCUAAGGAGCCCGGAGAAACUUCUCCUUGGCCAUUGUAGUUUUGUUGAAUCAUGGAAGGCUAUAGCCAUAGCAACCUUCACCAGUGCAGUGAUCGGGUACAUUUGCUUCAUCCUCCUUUGCUUCCAACCACCCUCAGCCACCAGGCACCAGCCCCAUCGGCAGCCUGUUGAGGCUAUAGAAGAUCUCGGUCGCAGACGUGUUUGAAUCUAUGAAAGCUCCUGCCACCUCAGUUUUCCCAGAAAAUUCUGCAAAAUAUAAAGUUGAUCUUGAUGGUCACUGCAGUAGAUCACAGCAUUAGACCCAUUUCAUGCACAUAUCAUGUCAUAUUCUUCCUUCAAAUUUAAUUUUUGCCGUUGUGAGAAGUGAAGAGGAGUUAACUCAAUAGCAGAUUACUCGGUUGGUUUGAAUUGAUUUUGCUGUUGAUUUACAGUUUCCUCCACAUCUUCAAUGUCUGCUGACUCUGGAUGCUGCUGGUUUUUCCUGUUUGCAUUGUACUUCGUUCAGUAAUUUUUUUUCCCACUUUACUCCGCCCCCAAAAAAAGAGGAGUUACGCACCCCCUGGGCGGCAGGACCUUCAUUAGAUUAAGUAAAUAAAAUAAAUUUAAUUUAAUUUAUGUGAAACAGAGAAUAACACAUGCAGAUGCGGGGUGGGGGGAAGCAAAAGUAAGAAAGGAAGAAAAUAAAUUACCUCCAAAGAUGAUCUAAUCAUGCCUUUCCAAUUGUGAAAAAACAUAAAUUACCUCCAAAGAUUGUCUACAAUCAUGUGAAAAAAAAAUACGACUAAAGAUGGCUUAUAAUCAUGCCUUAACCAAUGUGAAGAAAAAUAAAUUACCUCCAAAGAUGGCCUACAAUCAUGCUCUUCCUAAUGGGAACAAAAUAUAACCUCCAAAGAUGGUCUGCAGCCCUGCCUCUCCCAAUUUGCUGAGAUAUGUCAAAAAAAAAUAUCAACUCAUGCAAUAACGUAGCAUGACUAUCUUCUAUUCGUCAGGGGAAAGGAAUCCACAGAGAAAUCCAACAAUAAGAAAUUGUAUAGCUCACUAAGGUGACAUGAUUAAUUGCUUGCAACUUAAUUACACCAUAAAAUUUUCAUCCUUAUAAAUGACCCAAGUAGACGCAUUUAUCUUUUUAAAAACAGAUGUCUGUUUUAAAGGUGACAAGUUUUUGAUAGUCGCACCAAAUAACUUGGAUUAAAUACUCGUACUGUGCAACAUGAGAGAGAGAGAGAGAAAGACAGAGAGAAAGCAGCCAAUCUGGAUGUCUCGAUUCAAAAAACAGCAUUCAUUCGUGGUUACCAACAUCCAUGUCCAGGAUUUUUUCAGACUAUAUUGUCCAUCCCUUGCAUGUAUAUUAGGGUAAUAUUAACAUCUUUCAAACCUACAACAUUUCAAAACUAGGUCUGAAGCAUCAUGUUUCUUAUUCCAUCACGUGUAUCCUGAUGUUUUGUUUUCCCAUGGAACAGCUAUAAUACAUUUUGAUGACAUGAUAGCCCACUAUCAUGAGGACUGCUGAUACCUAAGCCAGCACAAGUCAUAGUUAGAAAAGAACUGAAUUUUAUCUCAGCUGCCUAUAGCAGCUAUAAGCAACAGCAACGGAGGCAAUGGCUGCAACCACCGCGAGAGCUGCAUAGGUGUCCUCUCGUUCCCAGCUCUCAAACCAGGUGGGCAUUGCACAGAUUUUACGAGUGCACGAGGCUGCUUUGUUGCUACUGGUCUUGGUUUCCAUCUUACUCUUCUCCUGCUCGACCUCCUGAGUCUUCUGUUCGCCAAUCUGAUCAUUUUCUGGUUUUUCCAUCGGUGGCGUGUUCUGGCAACAAGAGAUGUUGCCAGUGCCCUGGCAGCAUCCACCUGCUCCAGCUAUUGUGCCAUUUACAACACCAUCAGUUCCUGCAGUUUCGAUGAAUUCCUUUGCAGUAUUUUGCUCCAUUCCACUGUUUGGCUGAAGUCUAAGGUUCUGAGCAUUUUUCUGGUCCUCCUCAGAUAAUCCCAUUUGCCCCCUGAUUCGAAAUUUCAACCAGAUUAGAUGCAUCAUGCAAGUAUUUUCCUUUCUUUUUUUCCCUAAUAAAGAAAGGUGGCAAAGGUAGCCAGCUUAUGACAAGUAAAUGUUGUUCUCGAAGAUUGAAUUAUGAUAAGUACCUAAUAAACAUUGGUCUUGGUGUUCUUAAUGCAUCAGAAUACGAUGCGCUAAGAUAUCAUUUGUAUAUUUCUUCAGAAGUUAUGUUGUAUCUAAACUCCAAAACAAACAAUAACUCAUCUAAGAGGAACAAGAGGAAAAGAAAGGCUCAAAUAAGGAAAAGGAACUACCUCCACAGAUGGUCUACAAUCUUGCCUUUCCGAAUGUGCUGUUCAAGCAAUGUAGGCACAUCAUCUGGAGAGACAUAUCCAUACCUUACAAAAACAAGAAUAGAAAACCAAUCAUUACCUUGUGCAAUGAAGCAGUGAAACUAUGUAAUCCUCAAUAAAGAAUUUUUCUCAGAGAAGUCCAUAACGGGAAAAACAAGCAAUAUAUAGCUUAUUAUGCUGACAUGAAAACUAGUAAUUCAAAUGCAGAAUUUCCCUCCUUACCAAUGACCAGUAAGUUCUCCAUUGAUAUUGGGACUAAAUAUAAUGACAUUUCCUGCAUACUUAUGACCACCCACAUGUGAGCAGGGCCUGACAGACACUUGUCUUUGUAGACCAUAAAGGGUUAUCUCUUCUUUGAAUUUUUUAACAAGAGCAGGGCCACAAACACCGCAUCUCCGAUCUCGGCUUUGAUGAGCACAUAUAAAAACAAAUGAACCAGUCAGUGGUUCAGCUGCUCCUGGGAGCCACUCAUUGUCUUUCACAAGCACUUCUUCAACAAAAGUAUCAACAUCAAAGUGUGUCAAUUUCCUGAUACAAAUAACAGCACUCAGUGUCAUUAAAUUUAAAUUUAAACCAUAUAAGGAUAAAAUCUAGCAAUUUGUUCAACAAACUCAAUGAAAACAAAACCUGUAUCUAAUCAUGUCUGGAAAGAUCAGAACAUCUCCAUUGGAAGAAUCAGUACCAUCUUCUCCUUCGCAUAUGGUCAAACGAGUCUGCAAGAAAAAUGUCAAGGCACUAACAUCACUUGCUUAAUCUUUUAUCUAAUUUAUCAGGAAUAGCAGCCAUCUUCCAUGGCCUAGAUUGAAUUCAAUUUACAAGAGCAAUGUGUGAGCGAGUGAGUGAGAGAGAGAUGUUUUAAUUUAUAAAAUUGAAAUUAAUGAACUACUAAAAAUUUAAAUUUAUCAUUCACAAAGUAUCAGCAAAGUCAUCCUGGACUUACAUCAGAGGAUGCAUGGAUAAUAUAAUGCUCCAUAAAGAAUGGCUAGCCAACUUUUUGGCAGUAAUAAUUUCAUGGAUGUACCCUUCUUUUUGAAAAGUAUCAUUGAGAAAGGACAAAGCUUCACCGCACCACUCCCUUCACCGUACCAUUGAGAAAGAACUGGUACACGGCCCACCUAUCACCCAUGUGACCUCCAUGUACCACACCAAUCUCUGACUGCCACAAGGGACUGAUGCCCUGUGGGGAAGGAAGUGGUGCUGGGAAACAGCAGUUAUUGAAAAAUAAGAACUAAGUGUUAAAGACAUCUGCCAUAAAGUAGCUUCUGUGAUACACUCCAGUGACGCCAUUGAAACCAAUAGAUCACCAGGCACUGUUCAAAGAUUUUACAGUGAGAGAACUAUGAAGAUGGUUCUGGCAUGAGGCAUGAAGAUCCAAGAAGGCUGGAGUAAGAGGAGGGAAAUUGUGAUUUGUUUGCAGGUAAGGUCAGGAAAGAGGGAUGGAACCCAUAAAAAGAAGAUAUCCAAAAGCUUGACUAAAAAAAAGACAGUUCUUGGAAGAAUGGACAAAAGGUACUAUUACUCCUGGCUCCUAAUGAAUGACUUAACAUUGUUAGUUACAUCUUUUGAUAUGAAUAGGAUUAUGAAGCUGCAAUUCUGAAAUAUAGCUUCCAUGAUGAUUUCUUACCUUCAUCCAACUUAAGACAUCAGAACAAUAUCUUCCAAUUUCAUCAUUAAAAAGUUCUGCGUACAACAUUGAUAUGAAUUUCAGUAUCACAGCUUCCACCUUUAUCAUAGAAUCAUUCUCCCCCAUCAAUGACUAGGAAGAAAAGUGAAUAUUAUUUUUCUAAUAUAUAAAAGUGAAUAUUAUUUUUCUAAUACAUAAAGUGUUUCCAAAUUUUACAGAUGACACCAGGGAAGAGAGUGCAUGGCAUACAUCUUGAUCCAUGUUGACAAAGGCAGAGACCUCAGCGUUAAGCUGUCCAGGCACUUAACACAUAAUCCUUGGUCGGAACAAGUCGCCUCCUCAAAUGCCAGCAUGGUUAAUCUAAGAUGAUCCGAUAGAUGAUUAAUUAAGCCAAGCUGAGUUUUAGUUAUAUGCAAGUUACAUAUAAUUAAGCCAAAGUUAAAGCAGUUGAUUACAGUGGUCCAUAGAGCAGUGUUAGCAUUUUCUUCGUAACAUUGAGCCCAAAAUUAAUGAUGGAACAACCAAACAGAAGAUUCACAAUGUUCAUCAUGACUUACAAAUUUGGAAACCUAGGAACAAAAGGAAUAAGUUUUUGAGAUAUCUUACUUAUACAACAAGUAUACUCAAAAUGGAUAGUUUCAAUAGUGUUAUUGAACAGAAUGUAUUCUAGGAUGUCCGCAUGUUACCCCCACAGUUAAUCAUGAUUAAAACAUCUAAACUAGUAUUGAAGCGGCAGCUGUAGAUGUAGGCUAUUAGAGGAUGGCACAACACUUCGGUAGAAGAUAGGACUUAGGUGGUUUGUGCAAGGGAUUGUAUUAAAAAAAUAAUAAAAAUAACUUAGGAUUCACAAAUAUAUAAACACAAUUAUAAAAUUAGAAAUCGAAUGGAAGAAACCAAAUGAAAUAGAAGAUAAUACCAUGAAACACUUCUAGAUUUACUAUUAAACAAUUUAGUAUCACAUGACAUAAAAAUAAUAGGCUUAUAAGUGUUUUCCAUAAAUAAAAGUUUAAAUUAACUAUUUAAAGAACAUGAUUAAUAGUCUAAGUAAGGUUUUAAAUCCCGUUGGACGGGGGUGUCCCGGUUUCUCCAUAGGUGUCCUGCCCCGUCUCGACGGUGGUCCCGGUCAUACAUCCUCGUAGAUAUCCUCCAUCUCUCUCCUCCUCUUCUUUCCUUUCUUUUCCUCUUUUUUUAUUUCUUUUUCUUCUUUAUUUCUUUCCUUCCUUUCUUUCUUUUUCUUCUACCUUCCUUUCCUUCCUUUUAUUUUUCUUUCGUUUUCUUAUCCCUUCCAUUAUUUCCUUUCUUUUUUUCUCCCUUCCUUUCUUUCUUUCCUUUUUCUUCAUCUUCUUUCUUUUCACCUUUUCCUUUUGUUCAUCUUUCCUUCCUGUCUUUCUUUCCUCUUUCUUCUUCUCUCCCUGCACCAAUGGGUUUCGGUGUCCCGACCUCGUCCCAAUUCCAUUUUCUCACACGAACGGGAUGGAUGGCUAGGACUCCCCCAUCCCACCGGAACUUAAAACCUUGAGUCCAAGUUAAUGCAAAACAAAACUCUAUUAAAUAAUGAAUAAUCAAUACAAAGUUGAAACUAUACAAUUAACUUAAAACUAGUCCAAUCUGGAGAGAAAGAUGGUGGGGGUCAUAAUCUAUUUGUAUAUAGGGGCUGCCAAGGUGGUCAGAUCUUAAGCAAGGAAGCCUGCAUAUGACCUAAGCUUGGGAAAUUGCCUAGUAGAACAACAUUCAGUCAUAGACCUCCAAAUAUAAAAUUGUCAAUCAAUACAAAUUUUUAAUGUUAUAGUCUUUCUUAUAAAUAUUGAUGCAUCAGUUUAGAUGGUUAUCAUUGAUUUUCCAUGGAUAGGGAAAUUUGAGACACACAGUUAUGUGCACACACAUCCAUACAACAUAAACACAUAUAUGUAUGAAGAUAGAGUGCAAUAAUAUCUAAAAAAAUAACAAAGGGGGUAAUUUCUUCCACCUCUAAUGCAUAAAAGAGCAUAAUAUAUCAAUAAAUAUGCAGAAAAACUUUUCUACAUAAAUAAUUUAUCUCAUCCUCCAAUACCAUGUCCCCCCCCUCCCCCCCCCCCCCAACCCAAAAAAAAAAAAAACCCAACCCGAGAGAGUGAGAGAGAGAGAACGAGCAAGGAUUUGAGUAUCAUGUAUUGUAAUUGUUACAGUCACCAGCUCUCAUAGUAUAGCAUUCAUACCAUACCACCGUACCAAGCUGGUUGCAUGCCAAGAAAAGGGGGAUUGUGAUGAAAAGCAUCCAUUAUGUAAUGGUACAAUACCUUCAUCCCAUGCCCCUUUUCUGCUGAGAAGUAUGUACGAGUAAUCAUACCAGCAAGUAGCAGCCAUACAAUAAUAGGGAGAGAACCUAAUGAAGUGCAAAUCUAGGAAUGCCAUGAGCAAAGACCAAAUAAAGAACUACUCAUUUAUCAAAGGUAUCACAUAAGAUUGUUGAAAAAGUAUCACAAAGAAAAUCCAGACAGCGUUAGCUGGCAACUAGAUAGCAUCACAAGGCACUUCGAUUAAAGCAUGGAUCUUUAAGAUAAUAGGAUAAUUUUCGCUUAGUCCUAUAAAUUAUUUCUGAAGAAGGGGAGAAAGCAUAGAGGACAGAACAAACAGUUAACUAUAAUGAAUCCAUAUAUGAGAAAGAGAAUUGAAACAUCAAGAUAGCAAAAGACUUCCAACAGAAGCUUCAGCAAAAGAUGGUGAAGCAAAGUUUUAGUAUAGAAUGAAGAUCACACGAAAGUGACAUCAACAGUCUUAUCAACCACAUAAUCAGAAUGGAAGCAACAAGCCAACAUAAAUGAUCUAACUCUAUUUUCCUGAACGUGUCCAAUACGUAAAUAGUGGCACUAAAGAUAUUCUUGCAAAAGCCUAUGCAUCAUUUUUUUUGACUUUUCUAGGUCCUGCUACGUCCAGUACCACCACUAGCCUAAGAAAUUAGGUUGCAAAAGCCACUCUAUACAACAAACACACUUUAUAAGCUUAAAAUCUAUGAAAGCUCUCAAAUGCAGAUCACUUCCUUGUCUCAUUUAAGAGACAAUGCAUCAUAAACCAUGGCCUGCUAUGCAAGCCCAAUUACAUUGUAAGUACCAACAAAUAUAAAGUUAAAUGCAAAUAUUUUCACAAAGGUAACUAUUCUAUUAAAAGAAACAUUUCAUUUGAACUAAAAAGACUACCUAGUAACUGGAUCACAGCAUACUUCUAAAGCCCAAAGAACUUAAACAUCAAGAAAACACAAAGUAAUAAAUUUGGAUGAAGCUAAAAAAAAUAAAUCUAAUUAUUUAUAGCCAAACUCGAGUUAAAAAAACACCAUGACGGAGCAUGGUAACGAUAGACUAUGGUACAACAAGUAGAAAGGCAUAGAAGGUCUAGCAGGACAUGGUAACUAUAGAUCAUGGUCACAAAUUUGUUAAACGGGUGCAGCAAAUGAGCUCUGAUGUUUAAAAAUUUAAAAGACCAUAUGUUUAUUUAAUUCAUCUUGCCGAUAUUGAAUAUAUCAGGGCAAAAUCCUUAUUAGAAGCACCAAUGUAACAGCACAAGGUAAUGAAAACCAAACUUAAACUCUGAGCAUGGAACUAUAGGUACAUAAUUUUGACCAGCAAGACAAGUAUAUCACUGAGCCGUUUACAUAAGAAAUGGCAUCUUAUAUUCUACCAUAUGCCUGACUCAUUUUUAUGGAGUACUUGAUAUCUCUAAGUCAACCAAACCUAAUGCAUGGGAAAGAAAGAUUUCUUGUCUAAGUUGAUAACAAAGAAAAAAAUGGAGACAUUUAAAUUUGUAAGGAUGCCAAAGCUUGGUCGUAUGUACAAAUGGGAAAUGCCUCCACCUAGGCUGUUAUAUGGUUCAUGGAUGAGCAGUUAGCAGUUCAAGACAUGGUGGUAGUUAAGCAAAUAUGGGUACUCCUCAAAGUUCUGGGCUGUAAACAAAUGAGGCAAGGAUACAUGGUCAAUGGACGUGUUGAAAAUGUCAAGAUCCCGUAGAUGAGAUAUGCCACUCUGAAUUGGUAGACAGGUUAAUGACUCUGAAGAGACCAUGAGGACUUCUAUUAGAAAAUCAUAUAUCAUAAUAUGAAUAACCUUGUUAACACUGACUUCUAAAGUGUAAACAGGACUCCAGAUUUCCUGGCCUUAUAAAAGCAUUAAAAUUAAUCUUGCUUUCCAAAGACAACUCCCGUUGAUACUAGGCAAAUUAUAGUAGCAACAUUAACAUUUUUGUUACGCUCCAUGCAUAUGCUUCUCCAUGUAUUAAAACAUUAACAAUAUCCAAAAUAUAGCAGGACGAAGAAACAAAGGAAUCAUGCAGAGAGCAUGUGCAUCACAAAAAAGAUAACAACUCAAAGAAUCAUGCAUAUGAGCACAAACAUUUUUAAAUGAAUGAUCAAUCUUCGAAACUGUUAAAAAUUAAUAAACUCAUCAUAGUAGACUUGGACUGCUACCUUAGGAAUCCAAAUCCGUUAUUAGAAGAAAUACAAUUUCUAGAAUCAUAUUUAUCCUCACAACAUCUCAUCAAACAUACUAGUGAUCAAGGAAUUUAUUCCCAGAUUGGUAAAAGAGCAACAAGCAAAAUAUACCUCCAACGUCACCUGCAGUCGUAAAGCAAAACAGCAAUAACUAUAAAUAGAGAGCUGGCCAAUUAUAAAAGUAAACGGUUCCAAAUUGCCACAAGACAGGCAUGAUCAAAUCGAUUACUUUCUUCACUCGCUAAUAAAAGCAAAUCCCAAUAUAAAAAGAACGCCGAUACUCCAGUAGGAGAAAACCCAUAAAAAAAAUCGCUUCAAAACUUCAAACUUCAUCCAAGAAUCGAAUUCCAGUAAUAAUCGCCAGAGCUCAAAUCCUAAAUCCUCCUGCACCCCCUCCGGAAAUACCAAAAUUACCGAUAUCAAGAUGAACAACCAGAAACAAUCCCAAGAUUAACAAAAUAUAUUCGAUAUAGGGAAUUAAAACCAACCCUAGAUUAUGAUUUGAGAAGAGCCGCGAACGGAAAAGAACCCACCCGCUUCUUCAUGUCUUCCUUCCGGGCCUUGAGGGCGGCGAAGAGGAGGCGAGGGAGCCGGUCAGACUCCGCCGCCUCGACGUGAGACGGCCAGACGUUCGGCGACUUGUAACAAAGGAACACGUGGCGGUCGUAGAUCUGUACGGUUCCCGCCAGCGCCUCCUGCCCGAACUCCGGCCGCUGGAACCCAAACUCCGCCUCGCCGCCGCUGCCUCCGUCCACCUCCGGGACGCCGCCGGCCGUCCCGGCGAGUAGGCCCUCGCCCUGGAAGCUCCCGGCGGCACUUCCAGUCUGGGAAUUGGGGUCCGGCAGCAGGGAGGAGUCGCCGCCGGUGAAGGAGGCGAUUCCGGAGAAGGCGACGGGGGAGGAGCGAGCCGGGGAUGCCAUGGAGGCGAGAGGAGGGAUAGAAGUAGAAGAGAGAGAGAGAGAGAGAGAGAGAGUAGUUAGGANNNNNNNNNNNNNNNNNNNNAGAAGAGAGAGAGAGAGAGAGAGAGAGAGAGAGUUUUGAAGGGCAAAGACAAGAAGAGCGCAGGGCGUUGCCACGGGAAGCAAGGUGGCGUAACGGGAAUAGGGACGGCGUCAUUUUAGAUAAAGAUCUUGGGAGAGUUGACCGACUGUAGCAAUCGCGUAUCCUGAAAUGCGCCUUCCGGGAUUUUAGCGCCGGUCAAACUAGGUUGGACAUGGAACUGGGAUAAUAAUUUUUCAAGAAAUACUGAGAAUAUUUUUUUUAAAAGUAAUUAUUUAUAUUUUUUAUUAGAAGUGUUGAAGAAGCAUUUACGAUCAAGUAAAUGGCUCUACGAGGAUUCGGAAAGAAAAAUAAUUGUACAAGUUAUUUAUUUAAAAUAUUUAAAUAUAAAUUAUGUUAGAUAUUUAUGGCUCAAUCUAUGAAAUAGUUUUUCUCUCUUAAAAACAUAUAUUUUUUACCGAUGCAUAAAAAAAUUAUUUUGUUAUGAACGAACAAGAUAUUAAAAAUUGUCCAUAUAAUAUAAAUCUUUUUUAUAUAAAAAAGAAUCUUUUGUUAUUAUAGAACCAAAAGUGAUCUAAUAUUUCAAAAAUAAAAUUUGAUUUGCUUUACGAAAACACAACAACAAAAAAUUCACAAAACUGAAGAGGAUAGGAAACAUAAUUUCUACGUUGUUUGCAUUAUAUAUGCACAAAGCUAUUUUUAUUUGAUAGUUGUUUGCAUGGUAGAAUACAAGAUGUACGAUAUAUAAAAAUGUUCCUAUUUGAUAUCUAUCUGUUGACAACGAUCUUCGAGCAUUGUAUAGUAUUCUGCGAUGCAUAUCAUACAUCAUAGAAGAUUCAUACUCGUACAUAAAAUAUAGUGACAGCCAAAACAAUUCCAAACUUAUGGAGGACAAAUUUUCAUAACAAAAUCAAUUUUGCGAUGCCAUACUUUAUAUUCAAACAAUAACAAUCCUUUAUAUAUGUUUAUACUCCCAUGAAGUCCCUUAAAAAAAGCGUGUACCAUAAUUAAACAUGACAUGGUAAGACCAAGGAUCUGAUCAUUUGAUUACAAGAAUCCGAGUCCAUCGAUGGCAUUGAUAUCACUCUAUCAUCAAAUUACUAUUACUAUUUUUUUUGAAUUUUAUGUACUUUUAAUAAUCCUUAUCAGAGAGUCAUGAAUGAAGUUAUUCAUCGCAUCAAUGAUUAACAGAGGGGAGGGUAAAUCUCUCCCCUCUGUUUCUUUUUUAUUCUAUUUGUGUCUUGAAUUUCUCUUCUUUACUCUCCGUACCUCUCGAUUCAAACACUCUAAAUAGAAGAAGGAGGAAGCUAUAUAAGAUGUCGCAGGAGGAAGCUUUAGCCCCGACCGAACCUUUAGCAAUAAGAAAAAAUUGUAUGUCUCCUUCCGCCGCCUUGACCUCCUUUCGUUUUCCAUGCCCUGGAUUUCCGUUUCCCCUUGCCCUCCACCCUCGGCGGCCGCCGCCCGAAUCGCUAGCCGGAGGACCGCCGAACUAUUCCCAACCCGCUGCCGCCCGCCACCCCCCAUCACUCCCUCCACCGCGAACUCCUAUCCGGAAUCCUCCUCCUCCGACACCAAGCUCUCCACCUUCUGCGCCGCCGUCGCCGAGUUCUCCAAACGCCCCCAAGGUCUCCUCCCCCCUCCUGGCGUCGGACCCCGUCGCUCCCUCCCCGCCUCCUACAACGUCUUGAUGAAGUACUUCUCCCGCUGCGGCGACGCCGACGAGGUCCUCCGCGUCUUCCGCGAGCUCCAGCUCUUCCGCCCGACUCGCAACGCUCUCUGCUACAACACCCUCAUCAACUCCCUCGUCGUCGCCAACCGCCACGCCGAGGCCGAGGCCGCCUUCGAGGAGAUGGUCUCGUCCGGAAUCGCCCCGACCACUUCCUCCUAUACAAUUCUCAUAAAGUCGCGAACUUUACACCCCUCUCUCAUCGAUUCAGCUUAUGAUAUCAUCCAAUCCAUGGUUCGAUCCGGCCGACACCCCGACAGAGUCACCUACUUGACCCUGAUCGCCGGCCUCUGCCGCGCCGGGAGGAUUGAGGAAGCGUGGGGUGUUUUGGAUCAGAUGCUUGAAGCAAGGUUGCUGCCGACUGUUGAAGCGUAUACUUGUAUCGUUCAUGGGUAUUGCUCGGCGGGAAGGAUCGAAGAAGCCAAGAGGUUGAUGGGCACUAUGGAAACCCUUGGCUGUCGGCCGGACGUGGUGACUUACAGCGUGUUGGUCGAGGCCCUAUGCAGAACUGCCGAAUUCGAUGAGGUGGAGAAGAUCUUGAGGGAGAGUGCGUCCAUGGGCUGGAAACCAAAUGCAAUCACCUACAAUAUCUAUAUGAAUGGGCUUUGUAAAGUGGGCAAGGUUGAUGAAGCAUUCCAACUGUUCGAAGUUAUGCGGCAGAGUGGGUUGUGCCCAGAUGCAAUCACUUUGAACAUCCUUUUUGAUUGCCUUUGUCGGGACUCCAAGGUUUGGGAGGCCAAGAGCUUGUUGGAGAGGAAUGCUGAAUUGGAAUGGGAUGUCGACAACUUCUUCUACAACACUUUGAUGAGUAGGCUGUGUGAGAUCGGUGAAUGGAUCAGUGUUCUAAAGCUCUUGAUCGAUAUGGUGAAGAAGGGGGUCGGACCGGAUGCUUGUACAUUUACCAUCGUGAUUCGAAGCCUUUGCAGAGCUGGGAAGCUUCGUAAAGCGAAAUGCAUUAUGAGCAGUAGGGGAUUUGCUGCUGAUGUUGUGGCUUAUAACACUUUGCUUCAUGGGUUUUACAUGGCAGGAGAAUUCAGUGAAGUCCAGCGUCUUUAUGCGAACAUGGUAGUGGAGGAUAUUGUUCCCAAUAAGUUCACGUAUAGUAUCAUGAUUGAUAGUUUUUGCCAAGAAGGAAAAUUUUUGGAAGCUAUUGAUUUUCUUCUUGGAUCCCUCAAAGAUGGGUUCUUAUCUGUUCUGGUUGUUCGUCUAAAUAAUUGGUUGAUUAAGGGAGGGAAGCUGAGAGAGAUACUAAAACUGCUCGAAGAAAUUACAGAACGAGGAUCGGUUCCAGACGUGUGUAUAUUCAAUGCGCUGAUAAGUGCAUUUUGCAGGGAGGGAUACUGUCAGAGUGUAGACGUAUAUAAAGUUUGUCUCAUUCUUGACAAAAUGCUUGGAGUCAAAUAAGUUAUCUCAAGAUGAUGCAAUUCGUCUGAUCAAUGGUCUGAAUCUUUCUGGAGAGCAUGGGCUUAAGUAAGGUAAUGUUUCCUCUGUGUGUGUGUGUGUGUGUGUGUGUUUUGUGCUACAUGUUCAUGAUAUGAAUGUUCAAACAAUGCUGGGCUUAAUGUACGUAGUUGCAGUGUUAUUUCCAUUCUGAAUUGUUCGACUUUCGCUUGCAGGUAAGUUCAUCCAACAAUUUAAAGUUAAAAUGAGUGUCAAAUACUUUGCGAAAAAAAUUCUUGUUGAGGACAAACAAGUAAUGUUGAAAUGAGCUCACAGUCUAUUUCAUUUGUUCCUUUUAUAUAUAUAUAUUUUAAAGAUAUAUCUUUCUUUUGAAAUUUGAGAUGAAUGGUACUUGUUUUCUGAUAUAGACAUGGGUUGUAGCAGGAAAGGAAGGGUUUCAUAUUCUUGGCGUCAAAUUCUACAGGGGAACGCAUGGCUGGUUAUUGGAAUCCAGCACCAAUGUUUUUGGGUCAUUUGACAAUAGACACUCUUGAAAACGGGCACAGGAGUUUCUUCACCAGGUUUUUAAUGCCUGAGUACCGUUUUUUUUUUUUUUUUGCUUCUUUUCAGAAAUAACAAUUUUGCAUCUACUUUUUUCUAUUGUCCCUUAUAUCCUUGGAAUUAAUUUAACGGAGAGACUUAUCCAAAAAAAAAAAAAGUUUUACGGUUUCAUCAUUUUAUCUUCUCCUGUAGAAUUUUACAAAGUAAAGUAUGUAAUAGUAUACAUUCUCAAGAGGUUCUUCUGAUGAUAUACAAUAUAUUCAAAUAAACUAGUCUUUUUCUACCUGGUUUCCCGUAACUAUGUGUAGCAAAUGAUUACAGUCUGAUGCAACCUUUGAAUCUUCGAAGUCUUUUUCAUUUUCUUGUUUUAGAAAUCCUGCCUGAAUUUCUGAAAUCUUGUUGCCCAACUGUUUAUGCCCAUGUGGGUGGUCUACCUUGUAGGGAUGUAACAUGGCUUCAUGUUAUCAUGUUAUCUUUCAUAUUUAACAAGCAUAAUAUCUUGCCACUGACCAUGUACAUUUCUUUUUUGUUUUAUAAAAAAAAAUCUCGGUGGAUGUAACCAAUGAUGUAGCCAAAGCAAUAUAGCCCAUUUUUCCUAAUCAGCAUCGUGCAUUCAUUUUCGAUGCAAUUGUUGUCUCAUGGCACCAGAUGUAACUUAUGAUUUUCCCUAAAAUAUUAUUUUUAAUUUCUCUUGAUUUGCAGGGAUCUUUCUUCAUAUAUCUUCUUUGGUCUGAUGUCUAUAUGGAUGCGAUGGAUCAUGAUCACAGUAUGCGAUGGCAUUGAUUUUACUUGAGAAGAAAGCGAUGCAUGGUUGGUAUGUUGAUCUGAAGCUUGGGUGACCUUGUCGGCAUUGGCUGCCGAUCUCUUCUCUCUCGCAUUCAUGCAGACUUAUUAUGCCAUCCUCGGCAAUCAUUACGAGUAGAUGGUGCAAUUACUUUAUUAUUAUUAUUUGGAAGAUGUUCUAGCACAUGGUGCGAUUAUUUUAUUAUUAUUAUCUGCUGAAUCUUUGUAGAGUGCUGAAUGGGUAGAUGUUCUUCCUUAGGUUACCAAGAUAUAAGUACCUGGUGAUUUCUCGUUAGACACGCAUUCAGGAUGUUUACAACGUCUUCCAGUUGGUUGGUCUAUAGAUUUGCUUAGUUAGUUUUCUUGUUUUAUUUAAGUGUAAUUUUUGUGCUUAAGUUUCAUUUUCUAGAAACUAAUGUUGUUAUGAGGUUUAAAAUGGUCAAAAGGUGCUGUUCAUUUGCAAUUUCUGGUCGUAUUUCUUGUUUGGAGUAGCUAAUGAUGCGGCACGCGGAUGAAUUCAAAGAGGAGGUUUUGAUAUAUCUUUUUUUAGGCCAAAUAAAAGCUCCCUAACAAGCCACGGCGAAUAACAUCGUCACCUUUUUCCCGCAAUAAUCAGAUUUGCAUCUAACGAGAACAGCUUCACUCUCACAACCCUGGAAAACACAAUGAGUAAAAAUAGUAUAACGAAAGGUAUUCCAAAAGAAAGAGCUAUGACUUUAAAACAAGUUGUCCAUACAGAAUAUCAAAGAAUGAUGUUCUCACACCACCCUUAAAAAAUAAUAAUAAUAAUAAUAAUAAAAAAAAAACAACAAACGUCCAAUGCCACUAUAUAUAUAUAUAUAUUAUUUUUUUUGAGAAACAGUGCCAAUGGAAAUAUUGAACUCAAAAUUCACGACUUCCAAGUGAUGCCCUAUUAUUCUACCUUGAACUGAAAAAUGGUGCAUAUCGUAAAGAUUUACAAACCAGAGUUUGUUAUUCUAAAAUAUAAGCCAGACAUAAAAUUCGUGCAGCUGUAAGAUAUAUUUUAUAUUGUGCUUAAUAAACAGAAAAAUGGUUCAAAAGUAAUGUCGCAAGAAGCCAUUACUUGAUCUUUGUUUGUGCAUAAAACAACUGAUGAAAAAUGUUCUGGUUUCGUCAAUAUAUUUACAUCAAUAAUACUUAUUUUUGUUGGGCUUGCUUCAAAUCAGCUUUUGAAGCAGAAAAAGUUGAGAUGAGAUGGUACGAUGACAAGUUUGUUAGCCUUCAAUUAUAGGCAUACCUGGUGCACUCUAUUGCUCUACGGGCAGCACGUUUUUUCCUAUGCAGAAAACGAAUGCUGGAAAUUGGAUCCAAAUCACUCUUUCUCACUUAUGACUGAGGGGGUGCUCAUAGGGAGUGCUGAAAGAGGUGGCCGCAGGAGAAGAUACAAGGAUGGCCCCAAAAUUGGAAUACAUGCCACCGGCAAAAGCCAAGAGCCUUGAUUGAUCCUGCUACAAGGGGAACAAGUGAGUUCUUUGACGAGAAAGCCAUUCUCCUUUUCCCUUUAUUUUAAAACAUUUAGGUUUGUGAGCAUAUUAUGAGAACAAGCCUGGGUGGAGAGUUUUCAGUUUACCAUCUCCUUGCAGUCAUAUCAUUGUAGACCCAAAAAGGUGCGAAAGCUGAGAGUAGUGUAAAAUCAAUGCAUGUAAUAUGGAUCUGCAAUGAAGAAAAAUGUUAUAGGUAAAAUGCCAGAGUUUUUACAUGAGGUUAAUCGACUCUGAUCCAGACUUCACAGAGAGAAGUUCACAGCCUCAAAAAAGUUUUUGUAAAGUAUUUGAUGCAGUUCUGUAAGAACAGCUGAACAGGAGCUGCUAACUAGUUAAAAAACUGACAGUAUUGAAAUUUCCAAUAGUAUGUCAUGAUACUUACAAACUUGCUUUCUCUGAAGUAUCGGAAGAAUUCCUUCCACACAUCACCAUUAGCUAAACCAGCAUACAUUGUUAGGCCCAAACCUGCAACAAGUAAAAUCUGGUGUGCAAUGGAGUUACUAUUCAGUCAGCAGAAAAAGGAAAUUAUAAUCAGGUAAAUACGGUUAAAUAUGGUAGCAGAUAAACCAUCAAUCUGAACCAUUUGGAGUUUCACCUACAAAUUUUGUUUGUUUCCACUAUUUCAAACCAUCACUGACCAAAACUCUAGAUACCAAAAACUUCAAGGCAACGCUUUACAGAAACUAUAUUGAACGAUUGGGAUUCUUUGUUUGUCACUUAAACCUUUUCAAAUUGUAAUCCAAUGAUGGUCAAAAUCAACGAGUUAUGCAUGUGGUUGAUGUAAAAAAGUUACAGUAUCACUCAUAUAGUCAUAUACAUAAAAAUUUUUAUACAACUUUGCUAAGCAAAUCAAAAAGUUAUGUGCAUUAGAGUUUCUUACCCCAGCAGCUAUCUUUGAAUCAAGAAAAUUUAAAGGCCAUCUCCUGAUUUCAUCUUCUCCAAGGGCUGGUGGAGGUGGCUUCCAGAAAACGAAGUAUGGAAUAAGGGCAUAUGCACCGCCAAAGAAUGAAAGCACUAGGAAUGGCCAGACAGGUAUCUUGCUUCUUGAACUGCAUUACCAGUUUGAACAUUUCAAAUUAUUUAACAUAGAGGAAAGUUGACAAAUUUGAAGAUUAAGGUGUAUGAUUUUCACUGGUUCAACUAGUGAUUCAACAAUAACUAUGCACAAAACUGAAUAAAGACAGUCCCAGCCUCAAUUCUUUAAAGGUAGUUGGGGUUUGCACUGUAUCAUAGUGAACCCUUGAUAGCUAAUCAGUUAUCUGUUUUAGCACUUGUAAAAAAGAAGAAUCACCAUAACAAGGCCAAGCCCUUAAAGGACGCUGUAGCUGAGUUUCAAUCAGUAACUCCAUGUAUAUCUAUAAAAAUACAUUUAGUGCAUAUAAGCUCAUUAAAAGUAUAAAUAAAAAAACAUUAACCUUGUUCCUAAAUCUUUUCUUCUCUAUUUUAUUAAAAAAAAUAAUCAUCAUUUGCAGCUGCUUCUUACGACAAAACUGCAUCUGGGGAAGUUACUUAUCUAGUGAUCUUAGUAUACUUUAGUAGGAACUCAUUAGUUCAACAACAAUGAAUUUAUCAUGUAUCUAUCUGAAACCCUUUUGCUUUUACCAUCUUGUAACUUCCCUCUCCCGACUUCUCUCCUAUUUAAAUAUAUAGUAUCCACAAUUCUAAUUCCUGCCUAAAAUUCAAAAUUGAUAAACAUCAAUAUCUCUCUCUAAGUUCUAAAAUAUAUAUUUGUUAUCUUAAGAGAUUUUCUUCUGUGGACUUCUAUCAAUUGUUUCUUAUAUAUUUCUCUCACCGAAGGAGAGAAAAUAUGACUAGAUCCCAAGUUAUGGUAAAGUCUUCAAAAAAAAUCAUAUGUCGCCAUUAUGUAAAGUUGGUACAAACAAAAGAUCAAGGUUUUAAAGCUGACGGGGACAUUCUAGUUUUUCUUUGGAAUAGGAUCCGCUGCCAUCCCAACUAGUCCCGACACUUGGGAUAGGGGAUGUCCUAAAACACGCCGAUCGGAAUGCUGAGAUGAUGGCAGGACGGUCCCAUCCCGAUACUUGGGACGGUACCCCAUCUAGACAUCCUGACAUUCCAUGAGGAUUUGAAACCGGAAGAAGACUAAAUAUAUGCCUAGUACUUUUACUAUGCCAUUUUAAACACAGGAUAACAGCUCUAAAACAAGAAUCCAGCAUCAUACAGACCAUCUCUCAUUUUUUUUUUAAAGAACUCCAAUAGGAUUAAGAGAUGAAUAAGUGGUCACUAUUGCAUCGUGUAACAUAUAAGAAAAGAAAGAACAACUUUGUUUAGACAGAGUUUCUUCUUCAGUAGUCACCUUCUACCAGUAGGAACUAACAGCAUACUAUAAAUGAAAGGCCACAGUCCCAUGAAGUACCAUAGAGCCACAAGUACUUCGUUCAUUUGGAAGCCAUCAUCGCCUUUAAGAUUCAGCAGUUUUUGCAGAUAAUACACAUCGCUAGCCUGAAAAUUUUGAACAAGUAUAUUAUUAAGAAAGAAGGUAAUAAUGGCACAUCUACUAGUCCAAGACACAAGUCCUCAGAUGAUAUUAAAGGAACAGCGCUGUGCAUAUGUAGGCAGUAGGCAAUAUAUUUGAAAGCCCAGCAGAACAUUAUGUGAGCUUUUAUACUGAAUGUUUAUCAACGGAUAAGGAAAAUAGAAAAAUACGUAUUUUAUUAUUUUAGAAAAUCCAUUAAUAGUAUAAUUUUGAAACAGAUCAAGAAAAAUACUUAUAUGUUCAUAAAUCCUUUUCCCCCUUCUCACCAAAUCACAUCCUGUAACAUGUAUCCGUAACCAACAUCGCCAUGCACGUCAAUGCAGGAUUUCGUGAUGCAAAUUUAAAUAUGUAUAAUAAAAUAACAAGUCAAACAUAAAAAUCAAAGUUUCAAAGUUAGUUAUUAACCAGUCAAAAAUUUUGUCAUCCAAAAUUUUUAGGUGUCUAAAGGGUAGAUCUCACAAGCAUUACCCUUGCUAAAGCACUCAUCCAAAAUUCAAGCAUUAGACCAUUGUCUCUGGUGUCCAUAAAGCACCACAACAAUUCAAGACAUAAUAAUAUUCUGAAUAAGUUAAAUAACAGCAUUCUUAUAUCGAGCAAUCUCUAGAAUUUAACCUAGUUUAACAAAAACAAACUAAAAUAUCAAGAACCAAAUCAUCCUGUAACCAAGAAAGAAUACCGGAGUCUGGUUCGGCGCGAGCUGGAAAACGUAAUACAUGAGCCCGGCCCACAAACCAAAGAGCAGGACCGAAGUAGUCCAAUCGUUCCCACUCCCACCACCAUCUCCACUCCUUUCGGCGGUGGGUCCUUUCUCGUCCAGAAAUGAGCCUCCAAAAUUCUUCCUUUCGGUGGAAUCUCGACAGACUUGGAGUAGACCCCUGCUCCCAACGGAGGAGAACGGAUGGCUUAGUCUGAGACCGGUUCCAGGGUUGAGGGUUUUAGGCUUGAGGAUGGAGUGGGUUCUGUGGAAUAGCUUCUGGGGGUGGUGGAGGGAGGGAAGAGGAUAAUGGCAUGAGAGGAUAGGACAGGAUUUGGAUGAGAGCAUGCUGGCCUUCCAAUCUGAACGAGGGAGGGAGUUGAGCACCCGAGUUAUAGCGUGAUCCGGAAACUAAAAGAAUCACGCGUACUGCACGUGCCAAACUUAUGCCACUGUUUCGGCAAUAAAUUUGUCGAGGCUAGUUAUAAAAUAAUUUGAGAGUUGUUAAAAUAAUCUGUCGUAAGUUAAAACUUCGCAUAAUAAGCGCUUAACGAUCAGAGCCUAUUAUGCUUCUUACUUUUGUUGGAUUAGGCAAGUGAAAAUAAAGUCUUGGACUUAUUUAUAUAAAAUAUUUGGUCAUCAGAUUUUACUUAAUUGGUUUUAUGUAAAAUUUCAAAUGGUUGAAAUAUAAGAAAAUAGAUAGAUGUAAAAAAAAAACAAAAGGAGAUACAAAAAGACUUGCUUGGUUAUUUUCUCAUAGAAAUAGAUUUAUGAAAACUAACAAGCCAUAAAACCAAGCCAUAAAACUUCAAAAAUGAGUAUAAAAAUUUCUACUUUUAAGAAAUCUCACCAUCAACCCAAAUUUAUUCUAAUAAGGUAUCAUGUUUUAGUAAACCAACCAAGACAAAUCAUUCAUGAUGACCCAAACCAUUUCAAAGAUGCAUCCCCAAUUCCCCAUCAACCCAAAUUAUCAUAUCAAUCAAUACUGGCAAAUUAUGUAGGAUUGUGUUCCAUGUGAUCUCAUUCCUACUUAUUAUAGCAAAUCUAUUCAUGAAAAUAUCUGCUGCUAGCAUUUCGAGAACUUAAUGUCAAAUAGCCAUCCUCCUUUAUUUUGGGAGAUAUUUUAGUAGGUCAAUAUUUUUUUCAAUACAACUAUAUUCGUUCAAUUCCUUUGCUCUAGAUGCAAAGUUGGUUUUUAUUGGUCAAUCAUGAUUCAUUGUAGCUUCUUAUCAUAUGCAUCAUACAUGCUCGAAGAUAGUUAAACAAAAAAGCCCUAUAGCGCCCACACUGUAAUGCUCACCAGGCUAUGAUCUAAAUCUUCUAACUUUCACCCUAAACCUUUUUGGAAAAGUGAGUGUGUUAUUGGUUUAGGAAUACCUAAAGGGAAUGUGUCGAUUUAGAACCUAACAUAUUUUUAGCAAUUUUAACACUCAAAUUUUAUGCUAGCCUAUGUUUAUAGUUUAUAGCAUAUCCGUAUUUUUAACAUAUGGAUAUUUGCUUGAAACAGAUACAAAUACAAGUAAAAUAUUAGUUAUAUUUAUAUUUUCUCCAUCCAAAUAUGGAUAUACGUUGAAUAUAAAUUAAAUAAAAAUCAAAUUUUGAAUAGAAUUCAAUAAUGAAAGCCAAUAGAAAUAACAUUAUCAUAAAGCAUGCAAACGAAAUCCACUAUUACGAUUGCAUAAUUGAUGCACAAUAACUAGAUUUUAAUCUCGAAUGUGGUUAUUAAACUUGCACAAACAACGAUUUGGCGAAGGAUCUCGAUCACUGAUCUAACUAUAUUUUAUAUUCAAAAAAUAUUAAAAAUUAUAUUAUUAAAUUAAAAUAUAUAAUAUAAAUAUAUUAGAAAUUUAUUAUAUACAAAUGUUACUCUUUAAUUGCAGCACAAACAAAUAAAUCAUGAAUUGUCUAUAUUUCAGAAAACUUGCAACAAAAAAUACUAAAAAAAUAUAGGAAAAUGUUUAAGUUAUUGAUGUUUUUUAAUAUUUUAAAUGAAAAGGUUUUGAAAAUAUCAUAAAGAGUAAAAAGUAAAUUAUACAUUUCCAUUUUUUAUCUAAGGACAAAGAUUGAAUUUUUAUGAAAAGAAUUAAUUAUUAAAGUAUAAAAAUCAAAAUAUAUUUCAAAUGGGUAUAUUUUAUAACAUGAAUAAGUACAAUAAAUUCUGAUUAUAUAACAAACUAAAUAUUAUAAUGGUGGCUGAAUAGUUGUUAACUAUCAAAGAGAUCCCUAGUUAAAUUCCUUCCACAUGUGGUAGAUAAAUGAUUUGGAUAUGGUCCGAUAUGAUCGGACUGUUUUCAGCCCUAAAAUGAGUAAAGAAUUCAAGAAGGAGAAGGCUAGCUUGCUGGAGUUCUUUUCCAGAGUCUCGAUCAGGGUCAUCUGCCUCUGCUCUAAAAACAAAUGGAAGUGCAAAAAGAACAGACAAUCUAAAACCACCUAUAAUAUAAACGAACUGAUUUUAACACUGGCAUAUAUAGAAAAGAAAAUCUUCAGUAAAUAUAAUCCCUGGGAAAUAAAAUCCUCAGUAACAGAUACUCAUAUCAGCGAUAACACUAGAUCAACAAUUAAAGCAAUAAAGCAAAAGUUCAAACUAGAGUACACCACUCCGCGAGUUAUCAACCAAACAAAAAAUCAAACAAAAUAUGUCUUCUGAAACUAAUGCACCAAGUCAGGUAAUCUAUUGGCUGCAGAAAUCCCUAAUUGUGGAUAAACCCUAGAAAUAGCUGCAGGGGGUUCAAAAAACCCUCAAGAUACCCAAUUAGAAAUAGGCUGUUAUAAGGAUAAAAACUUUCAAAAAUGUUCUGCCUGGAAAAACAACUCUCAAAAGAAAGCCUGAAUCACCUACCAACCCGUCAUUGCCACAGUUCACCGGAUCUGAAAGCGACUCCUAGUUUAUCGGAGUUAGAAUACGAAUGGUUCACUUCACAACAUACCUAGCAUCGGAACCCUAAUUUCUAGAUCUCCAGGGAAAAAAUAAAAGAGGAACAUCCACUGAAUUCCCAAGACGAAAACCUAAUUUUCCUGCGAGAGAACUCAAGAACGAUCUCAAGAAGGACAGAGACAUCGAAGGAGAAUGGAUAUAACUCAUACAUUUCUUGCGAGAUCUCAGGAAGCAUCAAGAACGAUCGAAGGAUGAGGCCAAGAACUCAUACCUUGACCCGAAGAAAAGAAGAAGAGCAUCGCGUUCCUAUGAAGAGGAGAUUCUUCUUCUCCAGAGAAGGGCAGACGAAGGAGACCGAUCCGAUCGGGGUCUCCGUCGAGAUGGGAGCUUGGGAAAAUCGGAUGUGUCGGAAGAGAGCAGAAAGAAAGAAACCGACCCCGUUUCGACUUUCGAAAGCGGGAAGGAGGGAGAGAACCGCGAGGGUCGGAAGCAUGGGGGUCCUUUUAUAGGCUACGAUGGAUACGGUGUGAGUCGCAUAGAAAGACGUUAGCGCCCGGCUUCCGGCAUGGAUUGGGAGCGGCAUAUGGUGUGAGUCGUAUAAACGACAUGUAAUGCUGUAUAAUAUUUUUUUUUCUUCUAUAAAGUCGGUUAACCCAUGGCCGAAUAUGAUGGGAUUAUUGUUAAAGUAAAAAAUAUAAAAUUGUACUUCAAAAAAACGAGAUGAAAAAUCAUGGUGCAAUUAAUAAUGAUGGUGUGCUAUAUGCUCUCACAAUAUUAUAUACACCCGCCAUCAUGUGAAAAAGUUUGAAUCCUCUACGAUAAGAUAGUGACAUUGCCGAAUUUUGUAUUAUCAUUGAGACAGACGGUUCGCAUUAAUUCUGAGAACACAUCUCCGUAUUUUUCAGCACAAUAUACAACAUGUUAUAGAUGUGAAAGAGAGCCGUCCAUCUCUGAAAUGGAUGAUGCGGUGGCUAUCUACAAUGAUAUCAUACUCUAUGGUGUAAAAGUCGCGCUGCAGAGAAUCCGGCUCAUAUGUGAAACCCAAGAUGCAACUGCUUCCGGCACUGCUUCCGGCACCCUUGCUUUACGUAAGUCAUUUUAUGUAGCUGUUCUAAACAAUGAUAGCUCCCAGGAUAUAUUGGAACAUAGCUCAGGCUGAUGAUAUAUUGGAACAUAAGACAUUAAAUCUUUGUUGCUUUCUGAACAUAACUCUCAGUUAUCAGCCAUUCAGUGUCAGGCUUCAGUUUCUAAAGUCAUGCUAUCUUGUAAUAAUUUUGGCAAAGGUUAUGUUUGGUGUUCUGCAUAGGAAUUUGCAAAACUUGCAUGCCGACCAUCUAACUGAAAUGAUUGAAGGUUCAUAAGGUUAAGGUUCACUCUCAUGUAAACAUCAGUCCUUGAAGACACGAAAAAAUAAAAAAGAGCAGAUAAGACAAUGUGCCUUAAGAAUAGCGCACCUGGGAGUGAAAUUCAACUCUGCAUCAUAUACUUUAAUGAUCUGAUAUCAUGAACAGCAAACGGAAGCCUUUAUUACAUCCAAGGUCAAACUUCUAUUCACUAAACAAAAUAGUUUAUCCUUUAGAGUAUUAUGGGCUUAAAAUAUGGAUUUGGUAGUAGCUAUGAUAUCGAUAUUUUAACCCAGGGAAAAGAAAAGGAGUGGUGCAAUAAGAUCUUAGUAGCUUGACUCUGGUACCUACAGUGAUAUAUCCACUUUGAAAUCUUUCUAAAAUCUCAAACUUGCACCCACUAUGCAAGUGUUUUCUUAUUAAAAGUGUUUCUAAAGUAUCUGCUUCUUAGGAUCUGCAACCACUCCUGCACCAUUACCUGCUUAUGAUUCUGGCAGUUCAGAGUAGAAUUUGCAAUAUUCACCCCAAGAUAUGUGGAGUAUUCUGAAUUUCAAAUGGAGACAUAUACGGAAUAAAAAUGCAACCUUCUGUUGUUCUUGAAUUUGAACGUGCUUCCUAAGCCCUUCCUCAUGAAAAAGGUUUCUAAACUACCGAUUCCCUACGUUACUCCCACUCCUGCACUUGCUUACCCUGCAGCUGUCUCUUUCUAUAUAUUUUUACAUCAACAGAUAGUGACAAUGAGGUAAUCCGAAAUCAAAUUAUUAUCCAAAUCCAAAUUAAUGGAAUCAUCAUCCAGGUAUGGAAUCUGUAAUCUCUCCUUGCCGAGCAGAGAAAUGUGACCUCCAGGACCAGCACCGGAUCACAUGUUUCAGCGUUGCUCCGGUUCAAAGCUGCUCAGCCAAAGAACAAUUCAGUCAAAGAGGAGGUCAAGGGAGGCCGCAAUGAACUAAAACGAUAAUUUCUACGAAGAAAAGGCUCACCGACAAUAUUGACCAUGUCGUUAACCUAGACCAGCCUUGCAUCCGUCUAGUAGUCAUUGGACAAUGCCUCCAAGACUCGCUUUCUCCAGCCACACCUAAAAUAUCCGUCUCUACCAACAAUGCCAGCCCACUCUCACCUUCUCUCCCAUGGGACACGCAUCUCAACACUCUGUCAUACCAUUCCCCCUAAACGUAGGUUAGCAAUAAUGAAAAACAAUUCAAGCAAUAUAGGAGCAAUUUCAGUUUUGCACACCAGGCAUAAUCCAGAAUUAUAAUAAAAUCUAGCAAGAAAUUCAAGUUACACAAAAACCAAAUUUUUCAUAUUGGCCAGUACUGGUACAUUCCAACCAUACCGUAUUAGUACCAAUACAUCCCAACCAUACCGUAUCGGUACGGAAUCGGUACAUGGUAUAGAAAACAUAUGUACCGGUACUAUAAUAAAAUAGUACUAAUAUGGAAUCCGGUAAUGAGAUAAUGAACCUUGUACAAGAAUGUUAAAAUUUACUUUUAGCUAGCAUAGAACAUAGAAGACGCUUGGAGCUUAGAUUCACAUCAAGUAUGUUCAAUUUGUCUGCAGGUGCAAACAACUACAGGUGAGGCAAUAGAUAGAAACAACAGAUGGCAUCAUUGGUUCAUAAUCAAUAAGCAUGAAUAAGGUAGUUCAAAAGCACCAGUAUGUUAAAUGUUCUGCUGUUAUACAUUACUUUCUGACACACCAAGUAUCAUCCAUGGAUGUGUAAGCAGCAACUUUGCCCCCUAUCAGAGCGGUGCCCUACCAUUUUGCACACCACAAUUAAGAGAAAAUGUUUCUCAUCCAGCAGGACGAAAUGCGACAGAAACAUUAUUCCAGCUUAUUUGUAAAUGUAAAUGAUGACUGUAGAAACACCAGCAAAAUAUCUCAUCAUAAGAAUAGACAAACCCAGGUUCUGAUUGUAUCUCCAGCAUAUAUUCAUAUAAUUACAUAAGUGAGAAAACAAUUCCUUGCUCUUCCAUCCUCCUCAGCAUCACUCCCUCUCACACCAUCUCACCUUCACAAAACUAUAGCAAAGGAAAAUCAAACAGAACCUGCUGCCAGAGCUAAGGCUUUGAUCCUUCAGAAAAUAUUGCAAAACCAACACAGAUUUAGACCCGCUCUUACAAGUCAGCCUUGAUCAAUCAAGAAUCUGCUGAACUAGCUUGAAUGCAGCAAAACCAUUUUUUCUGCAGAAUCGGAGGAGUUGAUGAUAAUAUUAGAUGAUUAUAAUGAAGAAAGACGAAUUAAAAAGCUUGGAGGUUGCAUCCAAUCUUAAGCUGUAUAUGACAGGGAUUGUCAGUAUUCACCGAGCCAACAUAGAUCAGGUGGCUUAGAGCUGAAUUGAUCAUCUAGAAUAAGAAAAAGGAACUUACAGCAUUCACAUUAGGCUUGGUAGCAUAAGGUCCCUGUUUAAAGGUUGCCUCCUCCUUUCCAGGAGAGUCCUGGCCUCGUGUGUUGCCACCUGUCUUCCUCUCAUCUCUGGCUUUAUUGAAGAUCACAGUGAAUCCCUCUGCAGAAGCAGGGUCAUUUACAUCCCACUCACCAAACUUUGGUAACGGCCGACCCUUGUCCUGCUGGAAUCCAAAUCACUAAUAUCAGUAACAAUGGAGAUAUUUUUAGAGGUGUGACAACUGAAAAAGUAUUUACAUUCAAUUUCUUUUCCCUCACUAAAUAACAGUAUCAAAAUAUAAGAACCGAAAAUACUAAAACAGGUAGAGUACCCAGAGCCAAAGAGCCAUAUUUUCUUCCAAUAAUGCAGCAUGCAGGAAAAUCUUUUAUAUAAAAAAUAGUAGGCAUUCUAGAUUCUGUUAUAAGCAGUUGUACUAUGGCAUUUAGUAUUCUGUAUAUGUCCUUAAGUUUGGAUCAAACAUUUUAGUCCCUUUUGUCUCAAAUCUCAAUAAUGGUUUUCUUUAUGACUCGUUGAGUAAGAAACGAAAUAGUCAAGUGUCCAUCUACAUUUGUCAAACUUGUGACAGAUGUGCCUAAGAAUGGCCAAGAUACUUGCAUUUCAGUUACUGUUUAGCAUCAUUGUGAAACCCAUCCAGGUGACUCUCCACAAUGGACCUAUCAUAUAGCCUAGGCAUAUACACAAACACCCAGGUUCCUAGCCAACUUGGAACAAAGCCAUCAGCCACCCUGACAAUCAACUUUACUUGUACAAAUCAGAUUUUGUACUAUAUUUAAUCAACUAAUAUUCUGUAAUACCUUAAAUAAUAGGCAGUGAACAUUUUUCUAACACAUACUAAUCAAAUACUUUCGAGAUAUAUUGUAAUUUGAAUCUAUACUAAAUGCAUAAAUAAAACAUAAAAGAAGUAAUAGCAUAUAUCAUUGCUGGUUCAGGUCAAAUAUUAGACAAUAUUUAGCUGGUUCGGUCAUCCAAGUUGCUAGAGGUUGAGUUUGUGUCUCCAAUUUUUUAACAGCACUUUUGGAAGACACAGAUUGAGAUACAUUAAAUUGCCCCACGAGGAAAACAAGAUUGUGUAGCUGCAAACACACAUGGAGACAUAUAUAUAUAUAACACACACACACAUCAGAAAGUAUAUGUCAUUUUACAUGAUCUCCAGCAUCCAAGAUGCUUGCAAAUCAAAAAGCAAAUAUUUUGAAGAAUCCUACUUGGACACAAACAUAUAGGUCAAUACAGGGACCACCAUUAAAAAUUGGCCGCCUAGAUGUUACCCACCUGCAGGUCAAAGGAGACACGGUAAACAAAAAAGAAUAGGUGCCAGCAGAAAGGGGCAAAAAGCCAGAGGAAAAGGUGGCUAUGGGCUACAAGAAAAAAGAGUAUUUGUUGUUAUAUCCCACAAAUAUAACAGCAGAGGUAGCCGUUAAAGGAAUGAUUGGUGAAUAAGGAUUCAUAAAGCUGACUCCAAAUAGUUGGAACAAGGAUUAAUAAUUACAAUAAUAUCUUAAACCAUUACAUACAUUCAGUCCACAUAUCCACAUAUACACCUAAUAAUCAAGCCUAUAACCAAUCAUUUUUCCCUCGUAGUAAGUAAUAUACCUUAUUAGUCCGUAUGCUUACAUAAGAUGCAUACAAAGUUAUGCAGAACCAUCAAUAUGCAUUAAACAAAAAACACAGCAAGAGAACCACAUUAGGUUCAAGGUAGAAACCAAACAUCGAACAUGUGCAACUAGAUUUGCAAUCAUUACUCAUACUUUACACGAUUAAGCAGACAGCUGCUUAGGCAUUUAAGCAACAGUAACAAAUGCUCAAGCAAGUACCACUUAACUGGUCCAAAAGUAGGUAGCUGUUUAAGUGGCCACUUAAGCAUUUAACUGACUGCUUCAAUACGAGUGUCUAACUACCUAGGCUUAUAUUAUUUAACACCCAAAAGAACGAGAGUCAAAACAAAAUAUUAAUGUUGUCUUAAUAAAAAAUUCGAAUAGAACCGUGAUGACAAGUUACAUCUCUAGGUAAUGUAAGCAGGACACUUCAAUUUCAAGGUAUCCAAGAGUGUCUUCUUUGUGCUCAAGUGUCUAGGAAGUGUUGACACUAUAGACUGCCGCACUGUCCUGAACCAUCUAGUACGGCGUGUACCAUACUGUAUUGGGUUAGAAUCAGUAUGAAACUCACGUUUAGGUUACAGGCUCCAGACCCAAGCAUAUCAAGAUGUACCCCGAGGUGUGUAUAAACCCAUACCAAGAUGUACCAGGAUAAAAAGUAAGACAAAUGGUUUAAUGGUUGUUUCGGAAUAGGAUGGUAUAGCGUACCAUAACGAACUAUACUAUAUCGAACUAGUAAAGUACUGGUACAGUAUGCGACACCGAGAUUGUGAACUUUGGCUAACCCUCCAAGGUUCCUGGAAACUAAAGUGUUCAAGCACUAUUAAGGAACAUGGUAGAUACAAGAUUGUAAAGUAAUAAUGAUAAAUAGGGAUAAUUACAUGCAGGAGCUAGUUUACCAACAUAAAUCAAGAUAAUGGUUUCUCAGUAAUUUGGAUAGAUAGCAAUCCUAUGUUAUCCUCAAAAUAAAUAUGCAAAAUGCUAAAUAGAAAAGAAAAAGCUCACACAUAGAAUAGAUAUACCUAUAUAUAUUCCCUCCUCCAAAAAAAAAGAUUUGGUCUAAUUUUCAAAACUAGCAUAGAUAGAACCAAAGUUCUCUAUCUCGGUACUGGACCCUGUACUGGUACCAUUUUAGUCAGUAUUGGUACGCCCCAUAUGGAGAUCAGUUUGGCGCACCAACCCUCGAUAGGUCCCUUGUACCAUGUACUUGUUAAUAAUAUGGUAGGUACCAGUACCGACCAAUAUGGUGUGCCACGUAUAGAACAAUAUCCUAAUGAGGGUGAGUCUCCCACCAUUGCAGUGCCUGGAGGUGGUCCAAUGUACACAACCUUAUCUUGCAUAUGGAAAGACAAUUUCUGUGUUUCGAACCCAUGACACUCAGGUCACAAUAAAGCAAUCUCACUAUUGCAACAAGACUUACCCUCAAUAGGCAAUCAAAAUUAAAUUUAAAAUAGUCCGCAUAAAUGUUCUCUUAUUUGCAUCCUAGGUCUUGAGCUAUAGCCAAAAUUGAUAACUCAAAAGGCAACUUACUCAAAUUGGGCCCUGGCUUAUAUACAACAUGAUCAAAACUCCAAGUACAAUAAUUCUACAUCUCACCUUAACCAGGCACAUUUGUGAGAAUUGCAAAAUUUUUGAGGCUCGAAGACAAAAAUCAUGGAGUCAAUUCAGCAAAUUUCAAAUAAUGAUGCAUGUAACUGGAUAAAUUAGAAACCUCUGCAAUGCGCAUGCUCUAGGAAAGGGGCAAUUCAGAACUUCUAGUCACAAAUAAUAUUAGGCUGAUUAAUCUUCUUAUAGUUUUUAUGCUUCUCGCAUAAACAUUAGUACAAAGAUAAAAGGACAAUCAGCUCCAUCAUAAUCCCCGUGGUGUGAAAUCCUAGUCCACCUCAUUCAAUUAAUUAUUAUUAUUUUAAAUAAAAAGUUUCAGUGGGACAUAUUUUAAAAACUUCUGCAGCACAAACCGCAAGAUCCACCGCUACAACUCUUUGAUGAAAUUAGGAAACACAAUCUCUCCUCUGGAUGAAACUAAAAGAACUUGUAAUGGUUGUCAACUUCAGCCCUAUCAAGUAUAUCUACAAACAAAACUAGAUUGAUUUUUUUAUGCAAGAAAUCUAUAUUACAGAUACAAAUACAAUUGCCAUGCAAUUAGAUUGAUUUAUUUCACUUCAUCUAUAAGAACCCCGAUGUUUUCUUGUAAAACCGGUCCCAUCUUUGCAUAUGAUUAAUGUUUCCCCAGUAAUUUCUCAAAAACAAAGGAAGUUUGGAUGGAUACCCUUUGGAAAUUAAAAUUUUUAAUUAUUUUCCAAAAUAUUGAGCAUUCCAUUGACAGAUUUAAAAGUUGACCACGAUGCAAAAUGCACUUGCUCACUUACUCUCAACCAUCUCAAGCACUAUUUACAAAUAUAGAAGCAUGCCCAUGCAAAAGAUCAUAAAGAUUAGCAUGUCUAACACAAACCCCUAGGCAAAACACCAAAAAGUUUCUCAAACGAAAAACAACUGAUCAUGAAAUUUCAACUGACAAUACCCAUAGAGCAAAUCAAAGUUAUAUACCGAAUAACUGAAGCAUAAUUAUUGCAUAAGCUCUAGAAUAAAUAUGAUUUAUACAUCAAUUUGAUUAUGACACAUAUGGAUAUGCAGAAACAAAAUCCAGCCAACAUUUCCAUGCACAUUAAGAACUAUAAUGAUGUUUCAGAAUGCUCCAAAUUCAGAUACCAUACAAAAAUGGAUCUUUCUACAGCAUUUAAAAUAACUAACAUAAAAAUCCUCCUCCAAAACCUAUACUGAAGCAUCAGCAAACCCUAAAAAUUUUACCACUAUAUAGUUGUUCACCAAAUCCAAUCAAUUAAAACAACUAACAAGGAGAAAUCAAGGAAGAAAAUUGUUCUUUCCAAAAUAGUUUAAGAGAAAGCCCCAAUACAACAACUCAUCAUCAAAUCAACCACAAAAACGAUGGAAAACAGAAAAAAAGCAAUCGAAAUGGCAUCAAUUUUUCAGCGUCUAAUGAAUCCAAAACCAUCAACAAAACAGGAAACCCACGCAUCGAUCGCCCAAACCACAUGGGACCAAAACAACCCAACGAGGGAUCAAACCCCUCCCAGCCAAUCGGAUCAGACAUCCAAAGAACAAAGAGACCACGAGGAAUUCAAAUUCUUAAUCAGAAUAGCAUGAAAAGGGGAAGAAAUCGGCCCUUACCGACAUGAAUUCUUCCAAGAAACCAAUAAGAAAGGAAGAGCGGGGGUGUGGGGGUGGUGGUGGGUGUGAAGGGAUGGGGGAGAAGCGAAGAAAACGAAAUGAGAGAGAGAGAGAGAGAGAGAGAGGAGUGUCCAAAGUUUUAAUUUAGUAUUGCGAGAGAUAUUUUAUUAUUUUUGGGUUUUAAAAAUUCGAUUUGAGGUAAGACUAUUCGUGCGUGUGAGCUGGAGGUGCGUGGGAAUGCCCCGAGGCCGCCGUCAAAAAUAACGGCGACGGAGGUUGGGAUUCCGCCAUGUGGGUCGCAGAGAGAAAGCUGGGGCGUGGGAUGCGGCUGACGAAACGGAACGGAACGGAGGCGGCAGGUUGGGCGUGUGGGUGUCGUCAUAUAUUCGUUUUCCUUUUUCUUUUUGGGUAAUUUAGUGUUAAAUUUUUUUCAUAUUUUUAUUUUCAUGCAAGUAGGAAGGUUGUUCGAGGGAUGAUACUAAAGGACAUCUGCUUUGUCACAAAUUAUCCCUCCACCCACAUGGCAAAAGGGGAUUGGUGAGAUUAUGAAUUGGUAUAAUACAUAAGGAAGUAGAUGGGAUUUUGAGUUACCAUGCCAGUUACUGUGUGACUAAUGGGCGUCUCAAAAGCAUGCUUCAAUAGAACAUAAAAAGACUAGGAAAUGUUAACAAUUAUUGGAGUUAAAAGGAGGAUUAUUGACAUACAUGAGCUAAAAUCUUAACAAUAUUCCUACAUGAGCUAUAAGGUACAACAUAGGAUGGCAAUGGAUCAGAUAUGGGUCAGAUAGGCCAUUACUCGUAUCUAUCCCAUACUUGCCUUGAGACAAAUCUGAUGGUAAGAGUUAGACACAGCCAGUUGGAUAGAUUGGAUAGGUANNNNNNNNNNNNNNNNNNNNNNNUAAUAUAUAUAUAUAUAUAUAUAUAUAUAUAUAUAUAUAUAUAAUCUCAAGAAAGAAAUUUAUGAAGAAUUAUAUUUAUAUAUAUAUAUAUGUAUCGAGUUCGAUGCGGGUUUUAUUAUUAUCCACCCCGCCUCGGAUCUACUACAGGUUGGGUAAAACCUAUUCCAAUAGGAUCGGAUAUAUGAUGAAGCCGAGUAAAUGGUCCUUUUCUAGCCAUUUAUCCUUGAAAGAAUUAUUGACAAUUUUGUUUUGCAGUGAUGUAACUAAUGCAAGUGAAACAAGAUAGCCCUCAAAAGAGGAGAAAAACGGGCAACUACAACUUCUUGAAAGUUCUCAUAUGUCUGCUUUUUCUAAUUUCUAGCAGUUUUCUCUGCUCUAAUCACUUUAAAGACAUGUAUCUAGUUUUAUAUCCUCUCAUUUGUUAUCAAAUACAAUUUUCCACUUACAGGCAAUAAAAUUUCAGAUAUAAAUAGGCUGGGUCAAUCAAUUUACAAGUAACCAAAAGAGUAUAAAUACAAGGAAAGCAUACCUAAACCUGCAUAAAGGAAUAGCUAGCAAACAUUAUAAAAAAAAAGCAACAGAGAAAAAGCAUCAUCAUACACACCAAGAAUUUAGACUUGUAAUGCUUUUACGAGUGUGCCAUAUCAUUAUUAGACCUCUCCGAGAAUAAGGCAUGUGGGGGCAUAUGCCAAUACGUGUUAGCUCCGCUGGUUGCACCUCUCUCUCCUCAGGACAAGUUUAGACCCCACUGGUGGCAAAUCAGCACCUGUAUUUCUUGUAAAAAAAAAAGUCAGGAGUCAAAAGCAUCAUAUAGUGGGUCAUCAUGGGUGAGGCAACACAAAAUAAUCAAUUUGCAAUCUAACCAUAACAAUAACAACCUAAGGACUUACAGUGCAAGUGUGAUGUACAGGCAAUCCUUAAGCUCAUCUGAAAUUUGUCUUUUCUAUGAGCUGUGAUCGACAAACUUACAUAAGCUUAGGAAAUGAUAGAAAGGUUAAAGCAAAAUUGAAUUGAUAAUAAAAAGGUAUAUACAAGAAGGACCAGCUUAUUCUGCAGUUUGUACAUAUUGCUUAUUAAGCUCCAAGCGACCACUUUUGCCACCAAAAUCCUAGCCAAAGGCGGUCCGGUCGGAUGGGUCAUCAUUUCAUGCAACAUUGACAUAUGAUUAUUGCAGACAAGCUUUCUACUUAAUCCACUUAUAAUGGCAUCUAAAUGACACUGCUGGGUGACAUUUGCAAACGUUUCAUAGAAUUAACAAGUUUGAAAGAGUUGGUCAUCUGACAUUUCUCAUGGUACUUCAUACUUGGUAAUAAGCAUAUUGAAAGUCAGGUCUUCAGGAAUUAAUGACACCUCCUCCUCACAUCUUCUCCAAAAAAUUUACCCCAAUAUCCAUCAUAUCAGACUUGCAAAGACCGAGAAUUAGUGAAUGAUAUGCAAGAUCAUCAGGCGAAAAGCCCAUCCCCUAUCAUUGUUUUGUUCAGGUUAAAUGAUCUUAUUAGUUGGCAUUAUUUUUGAUAUAUCCAUGCACUAGAAUGUUAUAAGUAGCCAAAAUUUAUCAAUUUUUUAAAUAAAUUGCCCAGGAGAUUCAUAGCAGCAUCCAGCUUGAAGCUUCCAAUAAGCAUUCAACAAAGCACCAUUAAGUAAUCUCAUCAGGCAGAGCUGGGUGCAGACAGCCCAUAACUUCACUCAGCAAUGCCAACACGAUGGGCAGCAGCUGUCCGUCUCAAAGAUGGGCAACGUGUCACCUAGCCGAGCCAAAAACACGCACUGGUAUCUGUCGUGCAAAACACACCGCAACGGGAUUCAACUCUGUGGUGUGCUCAUGGUGCGUUUUCUUAGGAAACGACCACCUGAGACAAAAUGUAACCCGGAAAAUAUUUACAUCAGUUCUCUCACCCUACAAGAAUUGUAUGCCUAACUCUAAUAGACAAAGUCAAUAGAAAGUUUUGACAUCUGGACCAAGCCAUUUAAGCUAAUAUAUAUAUAGAUAUAUAUAUAUAUAAGCCAACCAAUUAUUCAUUUGAACAGCCGCUAGCCUCCACAAUCUGUGGGGCAGAUAAAGGGUGUCUAAUACAAAAAGGAAAAGAAAAAAUAUACAUAAAGGCAGGCUACUGUUUUUCAAGCAUAUACACUCCUCAAAAUUAACUGUAGAGCCUAUAUCCAAAAACAAAAAGGACUCCAAGCCCUUGGUAUUGCUGUCAGAGUGCAGAAUAUCUUCCCUGACUAUAAGGUAGCUAGGAGUUCGAGGUUAGAUUAGUUUUCCCUUCUCCAAAAACUUCUCCUAUGCCAGCCAUUUCAGAGAGACAAGCUUUUGACAUCAGCUUCAUCUGAUUGCCUCUGAAACCUGCGAGACCAUCACUGGUGAUUACACAAUCAAUGAACUGCAAAAUAUGUUCAAAUAAAGACUAAGCACAUCCCAUCAUUUAUUUUUUUGCUAAUCGAUUAGAACAUGAUUGACCUGCAGUGCUGUAAAGAAAAUAAAUUGAGUCUCUUUUUGGUAGCAAAAUAAAUACGGUCCUGGUAACUAGUUAAAUCCUUUGAUCUUAUCAGUACUUUUUGUUCAAGCCCUCUCCAAAACACUAAGGAUCUAGCAUUGAUUGCAUAUACAUUUUCUAGUACAACCACAGAUACAACCAUUCUUGCAAGCAUAAUAUCUAGGUAUACUUGAGUCAAUUUUUAUGUUAUUUCAACAGCAAAAAGUAAACUCAUCUACACCUAUUAAAAGUCCAAGGAAUUUUCUAAAACAAAAGCAUUGUCUAAAGUAACACCUAACAUUUUAAUUCAACACCAGACCAAAAGCAGCCAAAAAGAUUGCGACAAACAAAAACUAUAAGCUGGUGGAAACAGAAGACAUGCUAACCUGUACAUCGCAAUCAGAAAAGGAUAAUUGGCACCAAGGGGAGAGGUUGACAAGUACAAAACAUCAACCAAAGCCAAAACCUUCACUAGCUUCAUGGAUGGCAAGCAGCAAGCGUUCUUCUAACUGCUCCUUGGAGGAAUAUUCCGGCAGGUCUAGCUGGUUGAAACUGCAAUUGUUUAUAAUAAACUUUUGAGUAACAUCAAUAUUUUGAAAAAGCAACAUCCUACUUGUUACGUAACAUUGCAGUACUGAAAUGCAUUCUAGUUUUGCUCCUUCGGUUAGCAAGUCUAACCAGGUAUGGGCAGAAGGUAGUCUCUCCGGAGCACCAUAUGCCUUGUGAAUCUGAAAAUGUUGAGGGCCAGAAAGACCCUGCAAUGCUUUAAAGCCCUCUAAGGGAACCUGAAAUGGCCAGAAGCAAUUCAUUUAGAGAGAAGACAACAGUAGUAACAGGGACAUCAAUGAUGCCUGCUGAUCUAAAUUAAAAAUUAGAUCAAAUAUUUUGCUUUUCUUUUCAUCAGAAAAAUGUUAAUUUCUAUGCAAGCAUUAACAGAAAAUAUGAUCAACUUUAAGAGGCCAUGUAAAUUCAACCUUGACCAUCCAGUGAAGGUCAAUCACCAAAAAAUCAAGAACUAUAUAAACUCAAGGAUAGUCAAGAUGAGGUUACUAGCAUAUCAAACUCCAGUACACUAUCGUCAUCCAGAAUUAACCUUAUGCAAUUCAACCUGGAUUCUAAUGGUGUGUGCAAAAGAGAUAAGAACAACUGACUGACUGACAUUGAUGAAAAUCAUGAGAAAGGAUUUGAAGAUAGAGCAUGAAACCCUUGAGAGGAUUAGAUCUAAAUGACAUUUAGCUCUAGAAAUUAACUAGAAUUGAAUUUAACUUUCCGAGCCACAAGUUCCAGGAGUUGUAAGUUCUCAUGUGGCAAAUCAUUUCAUCUUUAUAAAUAUAUAAUCAUAUAAAGUUACACAAUAGUGCAGGACACCAAAUAGACACAUGCAUUGCUCAAGUUAGCCUUUAAUUUCAUAUUUUUUUAUGUUAUUCUUUUUUUAGUCAUUUUAUAAAGUUUACUUAUUUUUUUUCUAAGAAUAAUUCACGUAGGUAUUUGUAUAAGCACUCACCUUCAACUUCAUAACUUUAAAACAUUACAUAUAUCUUAGUUUUUAUUGCUUGCCGAAUAUAAAUGCUAGUUAUUUGCAGUGAAAACUCAUCCACUGUAGGGACAAGCAUGAAGUAUGAUCCAGAAAAAUAUUUAAGAAUUCAAAUUGUAAGCAUGAUUAUUUUCUCAUAGGAAGCAAUAAAAAGUAUCCUACAAUGGAAAAAUGAUUUACAAGAGCUUAUCUUUUCAUGUUGUUGCAGCAAGUUACAAUAUUCCUCUAAGCCAAACUCUGGGCUCCAUCUCUGUUUUGAGAGUGUAACUGAUCUAGUCAAAUAUUCACUAAAACAUGGGAUAAGCCAGCUCCUUUUCUUUGAUGAGUGAUGGAUCCAACUUUGCUAAAUUAUUUUCUUCAUGAACAAGCAUGUGUCUUUCUCAGAUAGGAAUGCCCUAGCCAAUUUUAAGAUCAAAGGAUGGCAAUACUACAGCUGAUUGAUUAUCGACUGACAUACUAAUCAUGAGUUUCCUUGUUUUAUUUGGUGAAACUCAUGUUUCUUUAGUUCCAUACUAAGAAUUCAUUUCAAACUUGGUCUUCUUCUCUAAUGAAACCUAAUUACCAAUCCUAUAUUUCCAUGAAUAAAAAGUUAACAUAAAAAAGAUCAUAUCUUGAUGAUUAGCACAUGAAAGAUAUUCACUAGCAUCAAUUCUUGAACUUGAAAAAGUAAUAGCAAAAUCUAUCACAUAAUAACCUUCCUUAUGAAUGUAACAUUAUUGUCACAUCAUAAUUACCUUAGAUGUUCCAGUUACAAAUUGAAGCAGUCUUGCCAUAUCCUCCUUGUUAAAUGCUUUAACAACCUCCCAGAACCAUUGGAUAACAGGAGAUGCAGUUGUGUAGCCAGUAUACUCUGUGUUGGCUUUCAAAUCAUCGACUGCAGGCACCAAGGUGAAUCAUAAAGAUGAAAAAAUGGUAAAACUUCUAAUAACAGUAAAAACCAAAAGCACUCACGAUCGAUUUCUGGAAGUCCACUAAUUAGAAGCUCAAGUUCCUUGUCAUUGAAUAUUGAAAUAAGUUCCCGUGGAACUAAUUCACUGAAACCCUCUAAAAAGGAAUUAAUCUGAGGACGAAUAGCUGUACUCAAUAUGUGUUCAGCCACAAGGUCCACAUAGUCAUGCUUUGUUUCUUCUGUAACUCUGAUAUUCCUUCCUCCAGGUAUAAGCUCAUAGUCAGUAACCUCCAUCACACAAAGGGAAAAAACAGUUAGUUGGAAUAAGCAUGCAUAUAAAUCAGAAAUGAAUUACAAAGGCAAUCUGCCUUUCAUUUGCAUUCAAAUAAUUUUCAACAAGGAAGAGAAAACUUGCCAAUUUUAAGUCCGCCAGAAAUUAUCUUAAACUAUAUAGCAUAUUCAGAUACUGAAUUUUGCUUACCUGAUUUUUCUCAUAAAGGAUGUGUUUUUCCUCAUCGGCAUCCAUGCUAAAUGUCAAAUCAGGGAUAUCACUUACAUCGUUCUGUUUAAAAUUCAAUACAGAACAGUUAGUUUAUUAAAAAUACCUAACACGAGACCAAAACACUAAACACUAACCUCAAGCAUCCACUUCAAGUUCUUGUAAUAAUCAGGAUCAACAGCUUCUAUGUCAUGAUAAGUUACUUUCACACCAAGAAUGUGCUUGUAAAAUGAGCGAGUGAAGUGAACAUCCAAAAGUUGGCCAUCAAACAGUGCUUUUGCAACCUGUAGAAUUUGUUGAAAAUAUAAAAUGAUAAAGAAUUUUUAAAAGAAUUACUAUAGUGAGAAUGAUCAGAUUCAAUAAAGAACUGAGGAAUAUAUUAUACUACCACACGGCCCACAAACUUGAAAUAUGAAAGAUGCUCCGUUUGGUAAACAGAAUUUGGAUUAGGCUGGAAUGCUGCAUUAUUCCCAACAGUAGUGAAAAGCAAGGCUCCUUUGUCAAAAAUGACCCUUGAGAGCACUUGAUACCAUUCCCUUGUUAGCCCACCAGCAUCAAUCCCCUCUUCUCCCUGAAAUUGUACAGUUAACCGACCUUUCAAGUCCUGACUGGGACGCAACCGCAACUGAUUGUAUGAAUCCUCCAAGACAUAUGCCCGGCGAACACUGAUCCGCAGAGGAGCAGAAGGGUGAUGGUCAUGUUGCUGUCUAAUACGUGACCGAAAAUAUGCUCUCUUGUUGUCAAAAUCAAUCAGCCUUGGAACUUUCAACAUCAUAGACAGUGACUUUUCGAGCAAACUUGGACUUUGCCUUAUAAAAACAUUCAGAAGGCGUCGAUGCUUCUCUACAACCCUUGCAAAUGUCAUAGUGCCAGUUCCACUGCACUUAAGGGAUGGUGACAAUGAAGUACUGGCAAAUUCUUUGACUUCUCUUGCAGUCACAUUGUUAUCUGGCAGCGCAACAGUUUGGUUUGUCUGCAGCUUCUCGCACAGAACAAAAAAAGCUUCUAUGAAUGGCAAUAGCUGCUGUGUGCCAGGAGGAAGAAGUGGAGAAAGAGAGGAAGAGGCACCAAUAUCACCAGCAUCUGGCAAAAGUACAGGAGAAGAGAAAGUUGAACUCUGCCCUAGCUUUGCCUCAGUAGUGCUAAUGCAGUCACUUAGUUCUUGCCAUAAUGGCUCAAGAGCUGCAUUUAGGUUCCAUAAUAUAGAUUGUUCCUCAUGUUCCUCAACAUCUUCGCCCUUUUUCUCAUCAACUGAAGUGAGUGCACCGAGUGCUUGUAGCACACGCAAGACUGCAGCUCCAGCCAUAGAACCAGCACCAAGUCCCAGCAUUUGCGUAUUCCUCAAAGUUACGAGCUCAGAAACAGCAGAAGAACUCAAAUUAUGAGCUAAACCUGCUAGCUCAGUUGCAAAGAAUUUUCGAUGGGGAGAAGCAACAGAUGCUAAUUUUUUUACUACUUCAGCAGCAAGUGAAUAUACUUUAUCUGAAAGUCUGAUUAAUACAUAAAUUAAAUUAGUCACUAGGGCUAAUUCAAAGGAGACAAUGGAGACUCAAAACUAGUCACCACAUGAAAUAGGAAAGUUUCAACAUGCAAAAACAGCUUCUAAGACCUGGCCUAAUAUGGAGACUCCAAACUAGUCAUCACAUGAAACAGGAAAAUAAUAUAUGCAACUACAACUUUCUGAGAUCUGGACUAAUAUGAACAAAACCGAAUAAAUAUCAAAAGCAUUAGCCAGAAAAGUCCAGACAGUAAAAGGGGUGAUGCAGGUCAAUCAUGUGAAUGGAGCCAACUCAUAACUCAAAAAUGACCUGAGUUAGUUUCCAUUUUUUAAGUACCUGAAUUUGAGGAAAGAAAUAAGAUAAAUUGGAAAAAAUCUUGAAUAGAUCCAAGGAUUAGCAAUGCUUUCACAAAUAUGAUUAGUUUAAUAUUACUGUUUUUCAACAAAGUGACAGAUAAGAUCAAUUUCAUGAAUUUUGAUAACCCUUUACUUUUUUCAUUGUAAUCCAAUAUUUACAACAUUGUUGAUAACCCUUCAAUCUUUGGGGAUUAAUAGAUAUGCGAAAUAUACACCUUCAAGAUCGGCCAAAAUUUUAAGAGGAAAAAAUAAUAAUUUAGUAAAAUGGUUAAGUGUUUUGCCUUCUGAGCACAAAACUAGCCCUCUUUAUCUUUUAAUGAAGUCUUCCAAACAACUGUUCAUGCAAAGAUGGACGACCUUGGAGAGAGGUAUGUCAAGCAUUGCCCUUUCUCAGCUAGUUACCUUCUAAUUUCUCAUAAGAAUCAAGAUUCAUAGUAUUCUUGUUUAAAUCAUAAUUACAAUGUUUAAUAAGUAUAAUGGAUGUAAGGAAUUACUGAAUACAAAAAUGUUCUAUUAACCAAAUAUCAAAAGCACAUUAGCUAAUGGAUGUACGACUAUGAUGGUGCACCAUUAGAUAUGAUAGUUGAAAAGUAAUAUGAGUAUAUAAUGUUGUCUUGGCUAAACAUUCCAGGAACAUGAGGAAAAAGAAAAAGGAAAACAAGGAGUGAUGGUUCAGUGUCUAUAGGAGCUUAAAUGACAGUAGUGAGAAUUAUACAAGUUUGAGCCAGCAGGAAAACUGGUAAUAAGAAUAAAAGGCCAAGAGAGUCCAUAAAACCAACUCAAAGCAGUUGGGAUAACACCACUGGUUGUGGUUAUGCAUAGUUAGUUACUACAUUGGCAUGUGAAAAUGCAUGAGAUACUCUGUUUCGGCAUAAGAACAGUAAAGCGUAGAUACAUGAACACGUGGUGUUUCUCUUUCAAUACUGAUAUACUUGAAGGCUGUAGAUAAAUAUUCCCAUCUCUACUUAUUGGGCAUCCUCUGUGCCUAACCAUUUCCAGAAUGUCUAAGAGAAAGGCAAAUCAAAAGAAACACAUUUCACAACCAAUGUGUUAAAACAAACCAAAUCCUCUGUGCCCUACACUUCAACAAACAGAAGGGAGAGUGUUAAAACAAAGCAAAUGACAGUAGUGAGAAUUAAACAAGUUUGCAUCGACAGGAAAACUGGUAAUAAGAAUAACAGGCCAAGAGGGUCCACAAAACCAACUCAAAGCAGUUGGGAUAACACCACUGGUUGUGGUUAUGAAUAUUUACUACUUGCUACAUUGGCAUGUGCAAAUGCAUAGAUAUUCUGUUUCAGCAUAUGAACAGUAAAGCAUAGAUACAUGAACACCAUGGUGUUUCUCUUUCAAUACUGAUAUACUUGAAGGCUGUAGAUAAAUACUCCCAUCUCUACUUAAUGGGCAUCCUCUGUGCGUCACCAUUUCCAGAGUGUCUAAGGGAGAGGCAAAUCAAAAGAAACACAUUGCACAGCAUGGGAGUUCAUUAUCUCAGUUCGUUCAACUGCUAGGGCAGCACAUAAAUCAUUAGCUUAAGAAGCAGCAUAUGUAGUAGUAGUAGUAAUUCAUAAUUGCAAAUUUGGCCAGUACAGGGAUUGCACUACUUAAUUGACAUCAAAGUUCCAAGCAUAAUCAGAACCCCAGCAAAUCAAAGAAGUUGCUUUUAACAAAAUAUAUUUCUAGAUAAAUGUUGGCUCAAAAAAUUUACCCUUCAUGAGCAAGAAUGGUGCAGAGGUUGUGUAAAUCAGAGUCAGGAAGCUGUAAAAGAAGAUCAUAUUGGCUCACAGGGUUAUUCCUGCCCGAAGAUGGCACCACCAGGCAAGGACCUUGAUUCUUCUCCAGACCAGGGUUCUGUUCUAAAGUGGAAGAAUCUUUUUGAGUCUCUUGAUUCGCAGAACCAUCUGCAGCUUGUGCAGAGGGAGGCGGGCAAUCAAUCUUUGAGACAACAGUGUUAACUACUACUUGGAUCAAGGACAUAACCUGCACAAGCGACCAAAUCCAGUUGCACAUGCAAGUAAAAUGCAAAUAGAAAUACAUCAGCAAUCCAUCAUAAGCUUGCGAGUACCUGCUCAAGAUGUGCAUUGCUGCGCAGAAAUAACGGUCUGUUCAAAAGCUUCAAAAAUAUAACUAGAGGCAUAGAACCCUUAGGUGAUGUUUCUGGAACACUUGAUGAGGCCAUUGCCUCAAAGAUUUUCUCUUUACCUUUUUCCCUCUUGUUUUCUGAAUGGAUACUGUUUGAGGAUUCUGAGGCCAACACACCAUCAAAGUCAAAAAGAAUGUCUGCAACAGAUGAAUGAUUUGUUGCCAGGUAUGUCAGGAUUUCAAGAACUCGACGAGACACGAGAGUUGGAAGGCCUACAAAAUAAUAACCAUGAAAUGUCACGAAACAAAGAUAAUGAUAACAGAGGAUUACCCCCAAAAAAAGAAAAAGAAAAUAAAAUGAGAUAAGUAAAAGAAUAAACAGAGGCAAUACCAUCUGUGGGUUGAGGACGGCCAUAGACAAUAUUCCACUGACAUCCAUAAAGCCGCUGAGAAAUCAUGCUUGCCGACCCACUAUGCCCAUCAGCCUCAGGUCUAAUCAUAUCAACUAAAAGGCCAACCAAAAUAUUACGUGUAAUACUAUGUGCACAUAGGUUCAAUAGAAGUCUUUGGAGAAGGCCUUUGCCCAGGGGCUGCCAACAAAAUAAAUACAAAAAGAAAAAGUGAUGCCACAUUAGUUCAGCACUGAAAUUACCACGGUAAGUGGUUCUCUGUUGACCUGCUUACAGCAGGUCAAAAGAAAGCAAAACUCAUACAUAAAGAUCCCACUUCCACCCCAUACUCAAAAUUUCAUAAUGAAAGAAAAAGUAUUAAUCUAAAUCCACACUCUGCAACGAGGGAAACGUAUCCGGACACAAUAAGACUCUUCCAGAUAGUACAUGGUUUUAAAAUAUCGGAUAUAGUAACAACAUCGUACAUGUACAACAAGUUAUUUAUAAAUACAUAAAGCAGUCAAAAGUUAUACAUGUUCUUAAAGUCAUUUAAUUCAAUGAAUCAUUCAAACGAGAUUCUGCAGAAGUAGAAUUUUGGAUGUAGUUAAACUGCACAUUUUCAGUCCCCUCUUUUUUUCAAACAACGCAAAAUGAAUCUAAAUAUGAAUUAUAAGCAUGUAAAUAAGUAAAUCAUAUUACUAUUUAAUAAACUAAGUUAAGAGCACCAACCAGUUGUUCCAACAAAGCAGCCAAACAAUCACCUAUUGAGGGUACCUAGGCAAUUAGACUACAGUGACGUAGGUCAACUCUCAAAAUCAUGUCUCAACUAAGUGCAAUGAGAUCUGAACCACAUUAAAACCAAUAUAAAAACGUGUAUAAGUACAUAAUCACAAAGAAAUUCUAGUAGAAUAAAUAAAAUACCUGAGCUAAUCUUAAAAGGCGAAUAAGAGCUUUCAAAGCAUUUGCAUCCAAAAGAGGCAUUCCCUCAAUUUCUUUGAUCUUUGAGCUGUUUGCAGUGGCAGACACUGCUCUUCGACCUAUAGUAACUCCCACACCUCUAUCCAUUACUAUCUGCCUGUCAAUUGCCAGCCUCCUGCCACCAAGUCUAUGGCUUCCUCCAAAGAAGCCGCUUCGAGGAUGGUAUCUAUCUCUAAGCAUUUGGGCCUCAGCAAGUAAAGCUGAAGGUAAUGCUGAUAAAACUGCUUCAGAUGAGGUAAGGAGUACCUGCAGUAGGGAAUAGUGGAAAAAGUCAUGACACUGCAAGAUAAUAUAAAUUAAUAAUUAUCAAAAGACAUACCUCCUCACGUAGAUCAGGAGGGAAAGUAGCUAUAAUCGAAGCAUUAUCCAUGUCAACUGGUUGCCCCUCCGCUGGCUGAGAAUGCAUGCUUCUCUGUGCUCGUUGUUGAGCCAAAACUUCAGCUUGGAUAUCUGGAGGAAGAGCAGCUAAAAAUUCAGGAUCUAUUUCUUCUGUGGGUGGUGGAACAUAUGUUUCAGCUUGCGCAGAUCGAGGUUGGGAAAUUUGCUGGGAAGCCAGCACUUCAGCACGGAGAUCCUCUGGCAGUGCCUCCAAAAAUGUUGGGUCAAUUGCAUUCGUGCUAGAAGCCUCAUUGUUGACAUUGACUUGAUCAGCCUGAUUAGCAUCUUGAGGAACUGUUGGAUUUAGCCUGGCAGAUAAUUCUUCUCCAUUAGAAGCAGUUACAGGGCUCUCAAAUUGAUCCCCAACGGUGUCUGCUCCAUUCAUAUCAAUAUCUGCACUUGCAAGAGCUGAACCAGCAUGACCAUCACUGAACUCUGGCAUGCCAGAGCCUGAAGAAAUAAGGGCAUGACUACUAGAAUGGCUAUCCAAAACUGACAGUCCCUCUCUACUUUCAUUGUGCAAUUCCAAAUUGUGAGGAUUGGCAGGUGCUUCAGAACCAUCUAGCAUAGGGUGAUCCAGACUUUGUAAGUCAGCAGAUGAUAUAUCCAUUUCAGGAAUAGUAUCUAAAGGCACAGUGGUUGGGCCAACUUCUUCCACAGGUCCUUCCCCAUAGUGUAUGGUCUCACUACCAUUACGUGCAACAUUCAGAUCAUCGGGAAAUCUUGGCCUUAUUUCUGGUGUCCCUUGACUCUCCUCUGCUCCAACAACUGACUGUGCAUCAAUUAUUCCAUGAGACAGGUUUGGAAGGCUUGUAUCAACUCCAACAGGCAAGUUCCCCGGCUGAUGCCCUGGACUAGUCUCUAAUUCUUGAUGCUGUCCUUCACUUGGUUCAGUGGGAAGAUCAUCUGCCACAGGUGCAUCCCUAUUGGCAUUUAAUAGAGGCGAUUGUUGGUUAGCUUGUCCUGCAGAGAGAUCAAGCUGUCUCUGAUCUGGAGGGUCAUUGACAGUAAUUAACCCGCGCAACUGAGACACAAAUUGUUCCUCUACUGCCUGUGCAAUAGCAGCAGCAUGGCUACCUGCCUGAGGCAGACCAUCAUCAGUCCACCGACUAUCACCAGCUCCCCUUCUUCCACCAAUAUUCAAAGAAUCCAUGCCAAGUGAGAAAUCAAUUAGAGGAGGGGGUGCAGUACCAACCAAACGGUCACCAAACAUAGUUGCAACAGCAUGUUCAGAUGGAAGUCCAGCAUCUAACAUGUAGAAAUGGGCUACAUCAAAACCUCCAAAUGAUGAAGCUUCUAAGUCUCUAGAUGAGUUCCCGCUAGCAGACCACAAUGAAGCAACCGGCUCCCCUAAUUGUGAAGGUCUCACAAGUAAUGGAUGUUGGAAAGCACUUCCUUCAAGCCUUGACCGAGAAAGAAAAGUCCUGCUACUUUGACGGCGGCGUUCUAUACCCAAUAGACGACGAAGACGGGAUAUGUCAUCAUGAAAGGUCUCUGCAGCAACAUCAUUGAAACUGCUUGCAUCACCAGGUCCCCUUAAAACUCGCAGGUGAUCUAACCCAGAUAAACCAUCCCUCCACCUCACCUCAAUAACACGAUUAUCAGGGAAACCGUCAUCUUCUUCAUCAAGCAUGUCAUCAUUAUAUUCAUCACCCAUACCAUUGUCAUCAUGGUCCUCCACAUCUGUAUCAGCUAAAGACAUUAAUGCAGCUCCUUCUUCAGCUAUAUCUUCAUCCUCUUCCUCAUCCUCCUCAUCGUCAUCAUCAUCUUCACCAUCCUCCCCUACAUCCUCCUCAUCUUCAUUGCCCAUAUCAUCAUCUGUCUGGUGUUCAACAUGAAAAGUCAUUCCAACCUCAUUUGAAUUCCGUAGUGCACCACCUUCAUCCAUGUCCUCACGCAUAUACUCCAACACAUGUUCAGCAGGUGCAUUAGUGACAGUGUUUUCCUCCCCAUCAACUCGCAUAUCCUGCUCUAUAGACUGCUCUGUAUUUGUCCCAUGGUCCCUAUCAUUUUGAGAAGGUUCGUGAAUCUGCUGCUCUGCAGGUUGUACUGUAACAGUAGCUUCAUGCUGAUAGUUUGCAUUUUGACCGUGGUUUUCAGUUUCAACUUCAGAAGUAGUCUGAUCUACAGUUCUACCUUGUGCUCCAGAAGAUCUUUUCUUACCAAGCCCAUCCAACUUGAGCACUUGAUCACUAGCAUUGGCAGCUCUUGUAAGACUUUCUAAAGCCUUGAGUAUCAUGUUUACAACCUUUGGAGCAUCUGGGUGGUCCAAAUCUAUCACUCGAAGGAUACCAGAAAGUGACUGCACCAUUCCCCCAUCUAUCAUGGCCUUAGCAAAAUCAGGUGAGCAUCCAGGACCAGGCAAGUUACUGGACGACAAAUUUCUGGACAAAAUAGAAUUUACCAGACCAGCAAAAGCUAAAACCUUCUUGUCAGGUAACAAACUGCUUUUAGAGGAGUUGCCUUCUGAAUCUAAAAUAGAAGAAAAUGCUUUCACAAUUUCAGAAAUAACUCGUCUGCGCCCCUCAGUAGAUCUGCCGCAUAACACUACCAAGAACCAAGAUGCUUUUUCAGACAAUUUAUCUUUCCAUUCAUCUGAGGUUUCAGCAGUUCUCUCAGAAGACACUGGAAGUAGCUGAUGCAAAACAUGAUGCACUAUUCCGCCAUUUCCAGGGCCACCUGCUAGCACAGAUCCCCGUAGCUGACAUGUCUCCAUAUCCCGUCUCAAGAUUACACUUACUGCAUGGACAUACAUGAGAAGUAUGUCACUCAUCAACUUCAGGACAAAUGUCAACUUCGCCAGCCAUGCAGAUCUUUCAGAGAGACUAUCAUCAUCCACCUUCUUUGUCUCAUCAACUUUUGAUUUACCCUUUUCCUUUAUAGCAGAUUCAUCAACUUCCAUAGGAGUUACCGCACUAGCACUUUCUUCAAUUUUCUUUGCCGACGGAAAGCUCAUAACAAUUUCCAAAAGUUGAUCAAUCACCUGGGAAAGAUUAGCAGGAACUCUUUUAUGGCUUCUAGAACAUUUGCCGGUAUCAUUAGGUCUAUUCUCAGGCAUCUUAAUAGGCUCAUUAGAAGGGACCCCAGUUUCAAUGCCACAAGCUUUCAUUUUGUCCUUAUCUUUUUCUUUUUCCUUCAACAAGACUAUGUUCAUCCUCCCUCCUGAUGACUCCAAUUGACAAACUGCAGCUGCAGCUCUCAUAAAGAUCUCAGGAUCUCUAGAUAUGACAGGUGCCAUGGAUGUCAAAAAUAUGCGAGGUGAAAGACGGCCAGCAUGUCGGCUAAGAGUGCCAGUAAGGGUCUGCCUGAUUUCCAAUUCCAUAGCAGUUUGUAGAGUUUGAGGAUCUUCAAUGAGGUGCCGAACAAUAACAGAUGCUAAGCUGUCAAACCCAGGGAAUAUACAAGUUCUUGGAAGACUAAAAAGAGCAGCUAAACCUCCAGUUUCAAGGAACUGUGUUGCUAUAGCAUGUGUUUUUGUCAAGCGUGCACAUAAUUGUAGAAUAGCCUGCAUAGCUACUGCUGGAACAUGCUGCUUUAUAAGUUCACAUGAGAUAGCCAAUGCCCGUUGACUCUCCUCGAGAGAUAGAUAACCAGUUGAUUUCCCUAAAAUCUUCUCAAACGCAUUGCCAGAUUCUCUCUCAAGGCCAUCUAACUCAGAUUUUUUCUCAGUGGCAGAUGAAGGAUUUGCCAAGGAGAUGUCCACUCCAGAUGAAUCAGAUAAAGAUCUAGAAGAACCUUCAGCAGUUUCUGUAUUAAAUUUAGGUCCAGACUGCAACAUAUUAUUGAUAAUAAGCAACAAAGCACUUACAAUUCUUGUUGCUGAAGGCUCAUUUCUGGACCCAUUCCUUACUCUGAAGCUAGCCAGUAUAUCCAGUACAACAGAAACGGUACCAUUCUCUGCAGCAAUUUCCCUUGUGCUACCGUCUUCACUGAGAAGCAGCGCCAAAAUAUGCGAGAUAGGACAUAGUGCACUGAUAUCCUUCGAAAAAUCUGAUGGGCAAAGCUUAAUCUGCUGAACGAGAUACAACGUCACCCUUGGACGGUCCUCCCCUUUGUUUCGAUUGCAAAGUGUCACUAACAGAUCUGUCAAUGGAAAUGCCAUCGAAUCACUACUUUGAAACAACUUCAUUGAUGUACCAAGAAUAUCAUCAACUGGGGGCAUCUCCGGCACCCUCUCUUCAGCAAAUGCAUUUCUUGUCUUAUCAUUGCUAUCCUCUUUGGGUGUUUCUGAUGAAUUUCCCAAGGACAAAGCAAGUGCCUGAGCAAGCUGAACAUCCUCCUGCACAAAUUCCUCAGGAUGGCUAAACAACCAAUCUGUGGCCAUCUCAACACUAUUUGUGCCCACAUUUCUCAGAGCUUCCUCAGCUCGAGCCCUGGUAAAACCCAUCUCAACUAUAUUGGCAACAGUAGAUUCAUCAAGUGGAGGGCUAGUGAGCCGUUGGCCAGUGCUUCCUGUGAUUCCAUUGCGACCACGCUUCGGAUCUCCAACACCAGAGUAUAUAUGAGUAAUAAUGGAAAUCAUGGAGGUAAUAAAAGCUGAAUUACAAUUAGGAAACAUAGGGUGAUUCCAUACAGGAAGGAUCACAUCUAGAACUUGUGAUUGCAACAUGCGAACAAAUGCCUCAGGGUCCCUUGGAACAGAGAAAAGAUUAAUUGAUAAUCCAGCCACAACAGGUUGAACAAGAAGCUGAGCCUGAGAUGGCAAUGUUGGAGAUAAAAGCAACGAAGAAUUGCAAUGAUAUUCCAGCAAACGACAAUAGCUUUGCAACGUAUCCAGCAGCCAAGAACUGUGAGAUACCUUCUCAUCAAUAGAGUGUCCUUGAUCAGACCCAGCAGUCGGGAUAGAUAAAGGCAGAGUCCACAGUAACUGGCUUGUAGCCUCAAAUGUAGUCAGAAGCUCCUUAAAUGUUCCAUUGACAUAAAAACUGUUCACCAAUGUGGUAUUGCAUGUACGACGUCUGCUGUCAAAAGUAAGUGCAGCCAUGUCUUCUACAACCUUUCCAAGAUACCGACAUUUAACAGAUAAUGACAUUUCAAGGCCGGCAAUAGAAUGUCCAGAAUAACUAAGGGCAUCAAAGAAAAGUUUCGCGAGAGCAGUCACAAGGCUCUUCGAUGCAGGACUCAGGGAACUGGAAUCACCUCUACGACGAGCAGAUAACCCUUUCACAAGAGUAGCAAAAAAGGAACGCAAAGCUAAACCAAGUUUGGUUAGAAGUUCUGAGACAAGGAUGUCUGGACUUCUCUUUUUAGUAUACUGAAUCAGGGAACUCUCUAAUGUGCUAAUGGAAAUUUCUGAAUCGGUAUGUGUUGCAUCCAUCUGCCGGCUAAUCCUACCACCACGUAUCCGUGACAAUGCAUGUCGACCAUGCCGAUGCAUACUUCCAGCAGAACGUACCACAGACACAAAAUCCUGUUCUACACUCCAUCGCGAUGAAGAUGUAUUCCUUAUUGAUACAGGGUUCAUAUAUCGGACUACCGGAACAAUAUUUCCAUCAUCAUCGCUCUCCCUUCCUGGUACAUUAGAAGCAGAAGAAUCUCCAGUUCCAGCUUCUUGAUCAGUAUCCCGCUUCUCAUCUAUCUUGGAAUCACUAGAUAAAGAGAUCUGCCACAUUAUUUCUUUGUAAGCCUUACCCAAUUCCUGCAGAAUAUCCGCAUCUGCAGAUCCCAACUCUGAGACCAUAGAAGUUGUUCCCUUCAAAAGAAAAUUGGAAAGUGACAACAGCCCCUCUAAACUAGAGAGACAUUUCAAGACUUCAGUUUGUUUUAAGCAGUCAAUAUCAGCUAGCUUAGUUCCACAAACUGAUGAAAGUAAUUCAUUUGACAGCUUAAGAUGUUCUCGGACGAAAGAGCAAACAGCCUUAGCCAACGCAGCAGAAUGCUGAGGUGAAAAGUUUUUAAAUGCAAUAGAUAUACUCUGACCAACUGACACAGAAAUUGGCAAUAACUGAAGAGUAAAUAAUUUAAGAACUGCUUCAAUACCCUUUUUCUCAAUGAAUACACGGCAUGUAUCUGCAUUCUGAAGAACAGUUUCAAGAAGACGAGCAGCAUUGCUUAUACACUCAGGAAGAAAUGACUCUAUGGUCAUAGAUGCAUUAUCUGAAGACACCUCAUUCAUCAGUUCAGAAUUUCCCAUCUUCAAUGUUUCCCCUUCACCAAGUGAAAUAAGCUUCCUCUCUUCUAGGUCAGUUUCCAUGGGAACAGGAGUACAAGAGCUUGGCAACUCUGUUGGAGAACAAGACUCUAAGCCAGAUCCACUUUUUGAUAUUGUAUUCAAAAUUGAAAUAAGCACAUCAACUCCAGAAGCACGUAGGGAGGAUGCAUGACGCAUUAAUUCAUCCAAUCCACUGGACAAGGUUCCUGGUGUUUCUCCACUGAGGGCUUUUAAAUAUGACCUCGAAGUGAAAAUUUUCACGAAACACCUUAGAGCAUCAUGAUCCUUCACCAGUUUAAGACCAGUGUUGUUAAGACACAAUGCGUCCAAGCACUGGGGGAUACAUAUUACUGCUUCAGCAGAGCAGAGAACACCACUCGUGAUGGCAUCAAGAAAAGCCCGAGGCAAGUCAGCUGCAUCAAGGGCAGGAAAACAUGUGGGAUCUUUAUGUAUAAGAUCACUCAUAACAUUUGCAGCAAGUGAAAACACUCCACCGCCAAAGUCUUUUGCCCUCCUAAAAAUAACGCACAAGCAUGGUGGCAAUACACUCUCUUCUGCGCCAUCAACACGAGCAGAACUACCAGGGACAUAAGUUGCAAGUGAUAUCGUCCGGAGUAAUGCUUUCAUUAAUAACUUCCGGUGAUAUGAAACCAAGGAUUCAGAAUAAAGAGGUUGUGUAUCCAGCUCAGAUGAACUGCCCAUGACUUGCUUGCCCUUACCAUUAUGCUNNNNNNNNNNNNNNNNNNNNNNNNNNNNNNNNNNNNNNNNNNNNNNNNNNNNNNNNNGGCGUGCAAUAGUAUCAUCCAGACCACCUAAAUCUCUGAAUAAUGCUGAAGAGGGAUUAUGGAAGUCUAGGAAGCCCUCAAUCACAUGAACUGCAGUACUAACAAGUUGUAGGUGUUGUGGAUUAGUAUCUUUAAGAAGGGGCAAAAUAGUAGGUAUAAAUCCUGCUUCCUGCAGAGCUAAAGAACCAGGAGUAGAUGAAACCAAAAUGGAGACAAGAGAUAGAAGCGCUUCAGCAAAACCGAUAGACCAUUUUGUGGAACCGCUGGUAAUAGAAUCAACUGCUUUGUGCAUGAGACUGGGAAGGAUUCCACGAUGGCCACCAGCUGUUACAGAAGCCAAAACUGUAGGUUGAUGAGAUCUGUCUUGACAAAGAGCAACCAAUGACUGAAUUCCCAGGAUUUGAAUUUUCUCAGGAAUUUCAUCUUCAUAGCUUAGUAAAGAUAACAGUUCAUUGAUAAAUUCAGGUUGAUUGUUAAAAAAAGCUGCCAUAUCAUCAGCAUCAUUGCUUGCUUGAACAAGAACUAUGAAGGCAUAUAACUGGAUACGGAUGUACUGAUAUCGAGCAGCUAAAGAGUCAAAAGCCCUUGCAAAUCUCAACCUUGUCAAUAGUGAGAAUCGUAGACUGGGAGGUAUACUGUACUCCUUAACUAACUUAUGAAGAAGUUCAAGAUCAUUCUCACUGUAACAAUUGAUUUUUGGCAUAUGAAGGACUUGCAACCCCUGUUUCUCAUGUUGGACAAUAUUGGACUCUUUUGAUGUAUCAUGAACAGAAUAGAACUCAAAAUGAAGUGUGGAGCCAAUCUCAGAAGCAAUUGGAUCGCAACCAUUUUGUAUAGAACAAGCAAUAAGUCCAAUGCCUUCUUCCCUGCCCCCCCACCCUUGUGAAAAUGCAAAUAACUUUGAAGUCAAAGAAGUAUCUCGUAUGGAGCACUUCCCAACUGUUUUCUUCAAAAAUGCAGUCAAUGUCUGAAGGCUUGCCUCAACAACAUCUGCAUCAGUUGAAGCUAGAAGAGAUGACAGAUGCUGCUGCAUUCAAUAAUGAGAGUAAAACAAAAAUAUCAGCUAAUAAUUACAAAGGAAAGCAUGGUUUUCAAUUAGAACCAAAACAUAUACUGAAAUAAAAAACAGUGACGGCAUUAUAGACCAUGAACCUUAAAAAUCAUAAAAACAACAGAAAAAGCAUGCAUCGUUUAACCAAAAAUAAAAUGCAUUACAAGAUAAAGUAGCAAAUCUCCAAUAAGAUGAUACAUACCUCAAAUGAACUGUACAAGUGCUUAUUUGUACAUUUUUCUACAAUAAUCCUUGUGACUCGAAGAAUUUGAAGAACUGCUUCCCUAGGAAAUGGAGGAUCCCCUUCUAGAAAAUUGUCUUCAAGUUGCAAAUCCUUCCUUGGCUUUAUAAACUUCUCAAAGAAUGAGUCAAAAUGAUUAAAAAGAUCGAUCCAGUGAUGAAAAUCUCCCUGUAUAGAGUGAAGAUAGGAUCAGACACUUCUGACUGCUUACAGGUUGAUAACAAUAUGAAAAAGAUUUUAAAAAGAUGACAGGAAAAACAAACCUUAUCAAACUCCCAGAUAAAGUCCCUCAGCGGUAUUUCUACAUUCUCGAGUGCAGCAGUAGUAACGCUGCUAAUAAAGGAUCUUAUAUUUAGAGGCUGUGGAAAAAAGAUUGCUAAAUUAGUUAAGUCUACUAAGGAUGGAAGACCAAAGACAGCCAAGGUUCGCCAUACUGGUGUGUACCACCUCUUCUGGCCAUAUCGUACUAUACCGGUACAGAACCAAGGCUCGUUAAGAGGAUGUACCGAGUCUCGGUACACCAAACCAACCCCCAUACCAGGUGUACCAAUACUAUACCAGCAUAGUAUCAAUACAAAAUCCAGUACCGAGAUUGCAAACCUUGAAAAUAGUGAUAGAUUGAGAAGCAUUAAAAAAAAAAGAAACUUUAUAGUUGGGAAGCGCAAAAGAAGCGCUACAGCAAAAACCAAUGAAAUAUGAGGGGCAGAAAGAGAGACAGAAUUUUUAAAAAAAAUGACAACAUAAGGCAAUUGCUUUUAGAACUAGCAAAACUGUAAUAUAUAAAUAAGACAAAAAGUUUUGCAAACAUUAACUUGGUCAAGUACAUAUUAUGAUACAAUGAAGGCAUAAGUCGGGGUGUGAAUCAUGCUGAGAAAUUGUAACAAUAUUUAAAAAGUAUUAAAAAAAAUAAAACUCAGAUAACAAACUAAAAUUCAUUAUACUAGAAAGAAGCAUGCAGUUGUUGAUGAUAAGAUGCUAAGGAAUGUGCAACAAGGACAAUGCAAGACCUUAAACCAAUAAGAUCAACUUCACCCUUAUUUUCUAGUUACAAAAAGAUGGACAUCCUUCUUACAGUGUGCAAAAACAAUCCUGAUAGAUAGUGAAGAAUCAAAAAAGGCAAGCAUGCCAUAGUCAUGAGAAAAAAAUCAUUCUUAGUAAAGAACAUCUAAUUUUAUAAUUAAAUGGGAAUGCACUAAUAGCAACCAUCUAGAUUGGAGAAUUCUAAACUGAGAAUCUGGAAAGUUUACAGAUAAAUGAUGACAGGGGAUGCACCUUUGCAACGUCAGAAGCCAAAAUCCUUCCUUAUUGAUUGUUGCCUUGGGAUUAUUUGUCUUUAAACUUAUAUUUUUAGAACAACCAUCUGCGCCCACUCAUUUUGAUAUUUGAAAGGUUAAUUGUUUUCUAAAACAUAACCAAAGUACGGCAGAAAAUAAGAAAGCUUGGAGCUCUUCAUCUCAGAAGCAUUUUGGGGAGAUUUGGAAAAAAGAAAUAGAAGACAUACCAAUCAGUGUUAUCAGUGUUAGAAGGGCCAGAGUAUUUUGUGUGUGUGUGUGUGUGUGUUGUUUUNNNNNNNNNNNNNNNNNNNNGUUGUGUGUGUGUGUGUGUUGUUUGGGGGGGGGGGUUACUUCAAAAAGGUUCCUAGCUCGGGGAACCGCUCUCGGGAGGCCGGUACACAGCAGAAAUUGGCCAGUUUCGGCCCUAAAGGGGGCAAAAUCGUUUUUCACAGCCGAACCGUACCGGUUAGGGCCGGUACUGGUACGCGCUGAACCGCCAGUUCGGGCCGGUUUAGCAAACCUUGGUUUUAAGGGAUAGUUAGAAUUUGGUUUGAUUCAAGGGUCAACCUUUAAUGUUGUCAGAUGUUCAGACUACUAAAUGCUUGUUAACAUCUUUGUUGUGAGAGUAAUUUUCAAGUUUAUUUGAUCAUUCGAUGGAAAGAAGUAAGCUAAGGUUUGUCCGUUGCCUCCUACCCUUUUGUUCUCCCAGCUUGUUUCUUCUUCUUUCCUCUAAUUCUUCUCUCCUCAUUCUAUGUUCUUCAACUUCUCUUCCAAUUAUCAUAUCCUCUCUACUAUUUAUUUUUCUGAAGUUAACAAGUGGGCAUAAUUUUGACACAUUAUAAGUCUUUUCAGUAUCCAUAAAAGCUUAGAAUCCUAAUCCUACCAACAGUUGCUAGGCUGAGAAAUUGUAGGAAGACCCUUUGGCUUUCUUGUACUCCCUAGACUUGCGACCAGCUUCAAUCUGUCCAGAUUUCUUGUGCAGAAAACAAACCUAAAAAACUUUAUUUAAAAGAUUUUUUAAAAAAAAUGUGAAACCUUCACUUCAAGGUCCAUUAUUGCAGAUAUGCAGCUGUAAAUCCUAGCUCCCUACAUCACCAACAACCCUAAUCUCAUCCUGAAAAGCCUAAGACAGCCCCUUUUUCACACUUCAAUUAUCACUUUUCAGCAGAUGAGCCCAUAUUUGUGGGUUAAAUCCAUAUACCACCUUCCAAUGUGACAGGCUAACCAUAUUUCUGUAAAAAAAAACUUAAACAAAAACCGAUAAACAAUGGAAACCUAGAAAAUAGAACUCCCAAUGCAUGCCUCAUCCAACAACUAAGCUAUGCAAGUUGGCCCUCAAGAAGUCAUUCUAUUCCUAUAUUCACCUUUCAUGCAUCUGCACAUGGAGUUGUGGAACCACGGCUUGGGGCUUGGCACAACUGCAUUANNNNNNNNNNNNNNNNNNNNNNNGGGAAGUCUAGAAUAGAAGUCCAAAAAGCCAAAAAUAAGUGGGUUGGGCAGUAAAUUAGAUAAACAUUAUUUGCAAAAUCUAUCCAUUGCCAGCAAAAGCAACUUUAUUGUACAAAGAAAAUUCAUAUUAAUAUUAAGAGACAAUCACUGUUGUAUGUCCCUUGUUUUGCUUUGAAUCAGGCCAUUUCUCCUAGCAUCUUAUCAAAGGAAAGCCUAUAUCAUUGCAAGCUUUUCUGUUUUUAAAAAUAGCAUAAAAUAAUCAGAACUCAAAAUAGUAAAAAAAACUAGCAUAUAACCCGCAUGAUGGGUACAAUUUUUUCUCCUUUUAUAUAUAAUAUUAUAAGUCAUUAUAUUAUAUAAUAUACUAAAAAUGUUAUAUAAUUAUAUUAUAGUAUUAACUGUAUUAUAUUAUAUAAUUAUAUUAUAUACUUAUUAUAAUUAUGUUAUAUAUAAUACAAUGAUUCUUGUUUUACUUUAGCUUGGUGUUUGUUUCAUGGAUUUUAUACAAGCACCCCUUUUAGCGUAUCAGUCCCUCAUAGUAGAAUUUAUAAAUUAGUCCAUGUUAUUGACCUAGUUACCCAUGAAUACUGAAUAAAAUAUAAUAAAUGUCAGGUUUUGCUUUGUGUAUUUGAAACAUUAUAUAACUAUGAGCUACCAAAAAAAAAAAAUUCUAAGUUGCCAAACAGAUAUGAGGAAAAACCUAUGAUAUCCUCAAAAUUAUAACCUCUUUUCUAUUUCCUGGAGUCAAGCAGGGUGGCUUGGACUGCAUUUCACCUGUCCCUCUGUUACGCUGCACCUUUUAUUUUCUCAACCCCCUUGAUUUGACCCUACUAUUAACCCUAUUUGAUUGCUUCCUCGAAAUCCAAAUAGAUUUUAGAUAGCCCACCCCCCUUCCUUCCAGAUUUGUAGACUCCAAACCAUGUUCCAAUCCAGCACAGCCCCUGCCACUUCCCCAUUCCCUUCCUUCCACAUGUCCUCCCACCAUCCGUGUCCUAGACCGCAUAAAACUUUUUAUAAAACCUCUCGUUGAUUUAAUUUGAUACAAAACGGAAGGUGGAUCUGAGAUCUUGUAUAGAAAUUUCCUCACAAAAUCGGCUAAUAAGCCAUGCUUUCCACUGGCUGGUUCAGUCACUGCCCAUUUGAAUUCCCGGAUGGGGCACGCUCGUGUAGUGAAUUUGGCAUGAAUUUCAAGUGAGUUUCAUUUGGACCUUAGAGUAAAGGUUAAAAAUAAAAACAGUAUCCGCAUGGAAGUAAAUAUUGUCUAAGAACCAUAUCCAUGUGGAAGUAAAUAUCGUUUGAAAUCAUGGCCCAUGGGAAAUGCCCUUCUUUUUUUUCCCAAACUGCAAAAAAAUACCCUCCAUUCAAGAAGUGUUUCCAUGUAAAAGUAAUAUCGUCUAGACAUGUGGUCGAUGGAGAGCAAUAUUGUUUGGACAUGUGGUCGACGGACAGCAAUAUUGUUUGGACAUGUGGCGGACGGAGAGCUGUACCAAUGUAAAGCCUCUGUUUUAGGAUACACGUACAUUAGAUAAUGAAAAUGGAAGAUUCCACAAUGAAUUUAAGUUAUUAGAACAGGCCUUACAGAUAGAAUGAUUUUAAUCUCGAAACUUUUGUAGGCACUGAGGGAGACAUUGUUGCAUUGUUAACACAUAUAACUUGCUUAAAAUCAAGUUCUUGCAAGUUCAAUGCAGAUUCCAUUUCUUCUAUAUAUUUGCCAGGUUCAUGGCCUGUUACUACAUGUAUUAUUUGAGCACUACUUGAAGCUUGUGUAUCAGUGACAGGGUAUAACUGCAGGUAUAGACAUCUCAAAACUUCUUAAAUACCAUUACAACAGUGUUACAUGCAGUGUCUGUUGCUUAACAAAUAAACAUAUCUUGCUUAAAUGGGCAUCAUGAAAUGUAGAAGGAAGUGAGCAUACCAAAUAUGUUCCUAGCUUGCUUAGAAUUAAGAACCCUGAUUUUUGUAUAGUUUCCCUGAUUUUUUGAAGCCUUAUAUGUGAUUUAGAAUAAUACAAGGACAAAGCAGGCUUGUAUCUCAGAAAUAAAGCAAGAAGUAACUUCUCUGAAAACCCUCUUUUUUCUCCUUUUUCCCAGUAAAUAUACAGAAAUCUCAUAAUGUUCGAGAUGGUUAGCCUAAGAGUGCAUAUCAGAAGACUCCUGAACAGUGGAAGCACAAUUUUCACUAGAACUAAGUUAAAUUAUCACAACAUAUCUAUGAAUCCUCCACACUUUCUUCUCUUUGACCUCAGAUCUGAGCUAAAAUAUCUAAAACUUUCAAGGACUUACACAGCACAAUGAACACACUAAACAAGUAAACUUUGAAGGACUAAUAUACCCUUAACUAAAACAGUUACAAUAAGAAGACAGGAACUAAAAAAAGUACAGAAAACAGGGUAAGUGAAAAGGUAAUGAAAAAGUGAUGAGGACAACAGAAAAAAAUUACAAUAGACAUGAAGGUACCCUGAAAAGCAAGAGGGAGCUAUCGAGAAUCCUGGGAUGCACAAACACUGUUUCAAAAUGUACCCAGUAAUCUCGACAACAAAGAGUAUGUUACUUCAACAUUGCAGAUAAUAGCAUACAAAGGCAUUUUUGUCAUUAUGAGAGCUUUAAUAUUCUAGACAACUUCUUUUCCAAAAUUAAGUUGACAAAGAAUAGUUUCCCCAACAAGAUAAUUUACAUUGUCAAUGCAAUUCUGCAAUUGUUCUUGCUUUAAGAUUUAGGAUCAUAUGAUCCUCUCGGACACCAAAAAUAGGGGCCACGUCAUACCGCAAGAAAGUCUAGUAAAAUUUCGCCCUUUUCUUGAUCAAGAACAACGAAAUUCAGUUUGAUCAGUUGAAAUCUAACAUAUCUACAAAGGAGAUGUUAAAAAUCAAUCGUGAUACUCACUUUCUGCGUGGCUAAUUCAAGUAAAACAACUUUACAAGGAAAAGAAAUUUAGUUUGAAAAAAAAAAAGAAAAAAAGCAAAAGAAUACAACGAAAAAAUAAUAAAACAAUGAUCACAUAAUCAAUCAUCAAAAAAAAAAAAUCUUCAUCAUGCAACUGUGUUUGUAACCAAGAAAAGAAACCCCCCCCAAAAAAAAAGUAAACACACAGUAAACAAAUAAAAAAAAAUCGAAUCUUUCCUUCGGAAUUCGAAAUCAAGAAGAAAAGAAGAAUAGAAACAUCAGACAGAAACCAAGAAACGAAUCAAGAUGAUCAGAGGCCGCAACUUACCACUUCCAAAACCCUUCUCCGUUUGAACUUCAUCUCAAAUUUCGCAUCGCCAGAACCAAGAACGGCCCGGGGAGAGCAGCCGUGGAGAUCCCGAUGGUCGCGGAACCCCACCGAAAUCCAACGCCCGAUCGCAGUAGAAUCGGCAGUAGAGUACGAUUUCUGCUGCGAAAAUCGGAUCAAGAAGGCCUGAUACGAAGAGGAGGAGAUUGAGAUUGGGCAAGCGAGAAGCUAUUCGGAUCGUUUGGGAGGAAAAUUAGGGUUAGGGUUAGGGUUUCCGUCGCCCCGAUGGAAUCGGGAGGAAAGAGAGGGAGCAGGGAGGGAGAGAGAGGGGUGGAGAUGAAUUCCAAGCAAGGAGAGCAGCCGGGGAGUAUAUAUAGCGUGGCUCCAUAGGAGAAAGGAAACGAAAAAAAAUAGCAUAAAAUUAUACACGGACUAAAAUGCCCUCGAGAUUGUUGGGAUUUAUGCUGUGGGAUAUUUCACGUGAAGUGUCCAUGGGAGGUUUUCUUAGGCUUCAAGACUAUGUUUGUAUUCGGGAUACGGGAUGUUUAUCCCCGGUAUAUCCUGGAAUAGCUGCCAAACUCCUCCAGUGGUCGGCCGGAUAACUUUAAUCCACUAAUCCGGUCGAACCGGAUCUGACGGAGUUAAUAUGCAUAAACUGUUAUCAUAGGGUCCCUGGGGUUGGUCUGAACCCGGUAUAAACCGGACUAAUGGGUUUGUUUUAUCCCUGAAUUAAUGACCAAUGCCGCCCUCGGUCGCUCCCUCCUCCUUUUCGCCGGUGCUCGCUUCUUUCCCUCUCUCUCUCUGCUCACCCUCUGCCAUGGCCAUCUCCUCCGAUCUGUCGCUGAUCCUAAUCGAUUGCGUUCCUUUACUUCGUCAUUAACUUCGUCUCAUCUUCUUCCGAUACUUAAGGCGGAGCUCGCUCGCUCUCGUUCCCCCUCUCCUCGUGGGGUCUUUCCUAGGGUUUGUGGGCGGUCCACGGCGACGGGGAGGUUCCGGGAGGGAAGAGUUCUUUAAUUGCCCGGGAGGGAAGGUAAAGCCUUUGUAUCAACCCUUUUUCCCGCAUCCUUCCUCCGUCCCCCAAUCCAUGGCUUAUUUGAUUUGUUAACUUUUUUUUCAGGACUUGGCUCUAGAGAAAUCGGGAAGAAAAUGUACAAGGACGCUGAAGGUCCGUCUUUAUUUGAUUUGUUUGAGCAUGCAGAUAUUGUUAUUAUGAGUUUAGUGCUAUAAUUUUGCAUGUCCAUUGUGUUUGGAAAAUUUUUGAGAGCUGCUUACUGCCUGAUAUGUCACUGCUUUACCCUGACGUAUAAUUUUUAAGAUACCUUUUUUUUUCAAAAAAACCUUGAGCUUUCUUGGAUUCCGAACAAGCUUGAAGUGAACCAUUAGACCGAGUAUAAGAUUCAAAGGACCCAAAAGUUGUAGGAUUAUAAAUACAUACAUGCACACAUAAAUAUAUUGGUCUACUUUUCUCCAGAAGGAUCGAGACCUCUAUCCUACCAAUGCAAAAUCAACGAAGACAUUUCAAAUUGAGAAUCCAUACUGUUGAUGAUCAUCUAUGUAAUAAAAAUAUUAAAAUAUCGGUGAUCUUGUAUUUUGAGACCUCGCAUUAUUUAUCAAGUGAGCUUAAAAAUUGACGGUGGUAACAAUAUUAGUUUGCUAAACUAUAUGAAAAGACGUAUAAUUUAAAAUCUACACUGUUGAUCAUGGUCUACACAUUGCAGAACACGUGUAAACCAAAAGUCGGUAGAUUUGGAUGUUUCGAAACCAUAAAUCAUGCAAAAGACCAAUAUUAAAUCGUUCGAACGAUAUAUUUUGAGCUUCUUGAUGCAUAGAAAAAUUACCUCCAAAAGUACAUGUUUUGAUUUUAUAGUAGUCUAUGUGAUAUAGAUCGUAAUCAACGAUAUGGAUCCUUCAUAUAACAUCUUCAUUUUUGAUAUUUGAUUGGUAGGAUUGAGACCUCAAUCCUUUUAAAAGGAUAAUAGGUGAACUCUCUCUAUGGAGAGAGAUGAUGGCUUUCGAGCUCCAGGGAACAAUGAGUAUAGUUAUUCCCUAUGCAUAAUGACGGAAUUUGACUUUCAAUAACUUCCACUUUUUAUUGUUUUCUUUUUUGGUCUUCUCAUGGAAAGUUUGUGUCAUUGAUGUCAUCCAAUUUCUCAUUAGAUUUUAGUUCAAAUAUCAAAAAUUACUUUUGGUCUGGGAGAAAUCUUCUCUUUCCCACAUUCCAUCUUCUCUCCUCCUCCAUUUUGUUACUUUGAUUCUCCUACCACCAGCCACAACCACAUCCCUCUUGCCAAUCCUUCCACCCAGUGGCCACUCCUCCCACCCCGUUAUUCCUGCAGCUGCAAACAACAACCUCUCAUUCUUUUUCAUUGGCUGUCAACUAUUACUCUUUGGACCCUCCUCCAUGGCCGUCCACCACAUCUCAUCAUAUGCAUAGCUUCUCUCUCCCCUGUACUAUCUGACAUUCUGCCUCCUUCUGCGAUCGCCUACAUUAUUUCCUUGUCUCUCAUCACUUUGCCUGCCGUCCUUGUCUCCAAUUUCAUUCUACUUCCACCCACCACUUUUCCUAGUUCCUCAUCCUGUCAUGUAUCACCUCUUCCCUCUUCUUCCUUGGACCACUUAUCCAUAUAAGCCACAUCAAUCUCCAAUUCAAAACUACUAAUACUUGUCGAAUUUUCUUGUUUUAUCUAUGAUGAUCAAUCCUCUGGUGAUCAACUGGUAAACAAGAUCAAGUUAUAGUCAAAGAAUUUCUCCUCUGACCUAUCUUAUGCAUCAGAGGAACCCAUGUAUCCAGUGAUUAUUUGCUCGUGAUCUAUGCCAUCCAGUUUUCCAUUUCUGCUAGUAUAGAGAAAAUGCUUAUGAUAGCUGAAAAAUGUGUUGUAUGCUAUCUAGAGCUUCAAAGGCAAUGACUGCUAUGCAAAUACAGAGUAUCCCUAGAUUUUCUCAAUUAUUUGUUCUUAUUUUUUUAUGUAAAAAUUAAAUGGUGUCUAAGAAGAGUACGUAUAUCGAUCACAUUUCCAUGGUCAUGGAAGAGCAAUGCCUAUAAAUGUUUUCUUUUUCCAGCAUCCAGAUUCUUUCUCGGAAUAAUAAUAUAAAGUAAGCUACCUUUUUCAUCAUGCA
rnacentral:lncRNA from 1 species